UCCGCAGAGGUGAAAAUGACAAAUACGGAAAAGUUCAAGCAGUACUCGACAAACAUAGCAGAGCGCAAAAGGGCGGAGUGAUGGGAAGGAAAUAAGCAAACCUCAGGUUACCUCGCUCAUGCGGGACCCACGGCAAGGGAAGGAGCGGAUUGGUCCGUUCGAAUUUUAAGAGCAUGACACCGCGACCACCGGUGCCGUCACCGCCGGCUGCGGGCCCUUCGCUGACACUGACCGCAGCAUUUUUAUUUCAUAUAAUCCCAAUAAAUUUUCUUUUAUUUGGGCAUAAUUCCAGUUCUCUUCAGGUCAUAACAAACGACAAUAAUGACUGAGAAAUUGUAAUGUAAUCCUUUUGUCAGGAGUGAUUACGAUUUUUUACUUGCAUACCUACCCAACAUUUAUGGAAUCAACAAUAAGAUCACAAACUAAAUGAGUAUAGUAGUUAUGUAUUUUAUAUGUAACUCUCAGCAAGAAUGUUAAAUAGAGCAGAGGAGAUCCAAUCCAAUAAAUGUACAAACUGCUUUCUAAAUUGAGCAGAAAGAGAAAAUGGGAGCCCAGAUUUACCAGGAACCUUGAAUGGCCUGACGGAGAAGAUUUGCGGGUGGGAAUCUUUAUCACACUUUUUUCACUAGUCGUCUCUUACAGAUCCAUGAUCGACUACUGAUCAAAAUUAGUUUCCUACAAAAUCUUGAUGCACAAAUAAUUGCCUUUUGGGAGCUUUACCCUAUUUUAUGUACCUCAUUCUAUAAUUAACAUACAAGGAAAGGUGGGAUUAAGUUCCAUACAGGCCUAAUUCCCUAGUCCUGUGUCUGAAUCCCCACCUGACCUGCGGAAACACCUUACUCUAUGCACAUUUUGUGGAAGUCCUGCUCACCAAUAUAUUUACUGGAGGUGCGGCCUCACUUGCUGUCAGUAAAAUCUGCAUCAAUCACAUCACCGUUGUCGGGACCCUUACCAGGUGAUUCUGCAGAAGAUCCAGCACCAUCCGCAGAAGCAGGUCCAGCUCCAGCAGCACCUGGUUGGUUGUAAAGUGACUGCCCAAGCUGCAUCACCUCCUGGUUCAGGGUAGUCAUGGCAUCCUUCAUGCUCUGGGUCGAUCCACCGGCAACAGCAUCUUUAAGCUCCUUGAGCUUUGCCUCCACCUUUUCCUUGACAGAAGCAGGCACUUUAUCUCCGAGCUCCUUCAGUUGUUUUUCGGUCUGGUAGAUCACAGAUUCAGAUUGGUUCUUAGUAUCGAUGGCUUCCCUUUUCUCCUUGUCCUCUUUGGCAUACUUCUCAGCCUCCUUGACCAUUCUCUCCACCUGAUCGAUACAAGGUACAUCAGAUCCAUACAGACAGAAUAGAAUGAACUUGCAUUUAAGUUUCAGAAUCAUUUCUAUAAAACAAUGAAACGGUUCCAAGACACGAAGGCAGAGAACAAAUUUCCUAUCUUAAAUAUGCAGUUGGUGGAUUAGAUAUUCUCACCAUGCAGUAAAAGCUAAUUUCUGCCUGAAGUGGUGAACAAUGAGCUUACCUCAUCACUGGGCAAAGUACUAGCCCCGGUAAUCGUGAUGUCUUGUUUCUUCCCAGUGCCCUUGUCCACAGCAGUAACAGAAAGAAUGCCAUUGGCAUCAAUGUCAAACUUGACUUCGAUCUGUGGGACCCCACGUGGGGCAGGUGGGAUACCAUCAAGACGGAAGCUGCCAAGUGAUUUGUUGUCCCUCACAAACUCUCUUUCGCCCUGAAGAACAUUUAUCUCGACACUGGUCUGUCCAUCAGCUGCUGUAGAAAAGACUUCUGAUUUGGCUGUUGGCAAUGUUGUGUUCCUGGGAAUGAUCUUUGUCAUCACCCCACCCAAUGUCUCCAGACCAAGAGACAGCGGUGUAACAUCUAGAAGAACAAUAUCACUGACAUCGCCAGCCAAUACCCCUGCCUGCAGUAAGCAAACAAUACAAAGUUGAGCAUAGCCUUCUCCAAAUAAAGAUCUGUAGUUGGUGUGACCUUCUACUUCACACAUGUAUAUUUUCCUUCAGAGUCAAUGCUAAACAUAGCCUUUGAAAUUCCAUUACCUUAUGAAGGUGAUUAAACAUGUAAAACAUCAUUAAUUAAAUAUGUAAAACAUCACGCCUUCUUUCUCUUCAUUAGCAGAUUAAAAAGAUGAAUUUCUUGAACAGUCAAAAUUAUAUACCUAAUGGAGCAUAUCAGACAUCAAAGUGAAUGACAAGUCUCUUCAGUCUUAGGACAGUAAUCCUCACUAACAUUUCUUACAUUAACUCUUUUUCUUAUUCAACCAGCAUUAGUUAUGCCGACUUCAAGUAGAGUAACAUUGUCAACAGAGCCUGUAUCUCUCAAUAUGGUGUCAAUGAUAUAGUACGAAUCAAGCUGAGAAGGCUUCAUGGGAACACAUUGUCUGCCAACCUAGGUGUUGAAUUCUUAGUAAAAGUGAAUCAAGAGGCAGAAAAGAGCUACACUCGAAGGAACAUCUCUAAAGAUUUCAAGUUGAGUACAAAACAUAAUCGCUAAUCUAUUAGGCACAUUUCUCUUUAAAUAAAGAUGAAUUGCAGAAGUAAAAUGACCAAAGUAUGAAGGACAAACCUGGACAGCAGCACCGAGAGCGACAACCUCAUCUGGAUUGACAGUAACAUUAGGUUCUUUUCCUGUCAUCUUCCGAACAAGCUCCUGAACUGCUGGCAUUCGAGUUGAUCCACCAACAAGAAUUACUUCAUCUAAGUCCUUGAAUGAAAGUUUUGCAUCUUUCAGGGCAUUGUCCACAGGAGUCCUAAGCCUGAUAAUUCCAAGUAGCAAUUUGGAAGGGGAGAAAUAAGAAAAUAUAAGUACAAAAUCACACCCUAGAGCAUGCUGAAAAAGACCAAGUACAACAUUUAUGCUGAUGACACUUAUAAAUUGUGACCUGGAAAGUAAUUACUGUCAAGCAAAAUCAGAUUAAAACAAUAGAACAAUUAUAUUAGUAAAUUAGUAUUAGGAGAAAAUAAAGGCACGAGGGGAAUGACAACCAGCAUGUUACAAUAUUGAUUUGAAAUUAAAUAUCUCAAUCAGUUAACCUCAUCCAAACAUGGACAUGUAGAUGAUACCUAUCAAGAAGGUCGGAACACAAUUCCUCAAAUUUUGCUCUUGAAAGUGUACCCUCUAUAUGUUUGGGGCCAUCAGCAGUUGCAGUAAUAAAUGGUAAACUGUAAGAAAAGCAAAUAUGUGAGUCAUACAAAACCUCAAGUAAAAAGGAAAGAGAUACUCAGAAGAAUGAUAUUGCAAAUGCAAACUUGAUAGUAGAAGAACCUAACCUGAUAUUUGUCUGAGUCAAGGUAGACAAUUCCAUCUUGGCCUUCUCUGCUGUUUCAGUGAGUCUUUGAAGGGCCUGUUUGUCUUUCAAAAGAUCAAUACCUUCAUCUCUCUUAAAGUUUGCAGCAAGCCAGUCAACAAUUCUCUGUUCAAAACAUAAGUAUGUUGUAUAAAACUCAAUUGCAGAGAGCACGAGACUAUCGAGAAAACAUAUGCACUGACUAGGAAAGAGAACACAUGUAACACAGAACAAGAAAACAUUUGCAUAGAGUAGAAGAUAGACGCAUCAACUUGUUUGAAACUCUUCCAUUGAUGAAAAGAGAUUGAAGAAAAAAGGCCUUAAUAGAGGCUGCACUUUGUGUAAAAGAAAACAAUUAGUAAAGAAAUAUUUUCAAAAACAUUAAAUAAAACCUACAGAAUCAAUAAACUUUAAUGGGUUUUGGUUAUGGACCACUUAAGCUCUUGUAGUUUACUCAUGUCUAAAAAAACUUAUACAUUUUCAAAAACGGAAUAUAUAAGCUCCUCCCAUCAAGUUUGAGUUAACAGACUUUAGAGUCUGUUUAUAUGACAUGCUGACUCAUAAUAAACCAUUAAUAUAAUGACACAUAUCAUUUAAAUUUAAAAAAUGAUUAAGGUCCAUUUUAGUCCCUGCGAUUUUGGCUAUGAACCAUAAGGGCUUAAGUGCUCCAUGGCCAAAACCACAAGGGUUAAAAUGAACCUUAAUAUUUUUUUAAAACUUAAAUUAUACAUGUCAUUAUAUUAAUUUAUUUAUUGUGAGUCAACAUGACACGUAAGCAGAUUCUAACGUUUGUUAACUCAAACUUGAUGGGAGGGACUUAUAUAUUACGUUUUUGAAAACGUACGGGUUAUUUUAGACACGAGUAAACCAUAAGAGCUUAAGUGAUCCAUGAUCAAAACCACAAGGGCUAAAAUUGAACCUUAACCCAGCUUUAAUUAGUACAACAUUCAAAGUAUCCUUCUUCCCCCAGCCUUUUUUUCUUAUGUUGUUUUCAUCUUUAAAAUGAACUAUUUGCUUCACAAUUUUGAUUUAAACGACCACCUGAAUGGGAAGCUUAAUGGAUGUUACUAUAAUUGCAUAAAUAAUGAGAAAGUAUCAACGCUGUUUUUUUCUGCUCGAUCAAUGCAAUUUCAAUAUAAUGAACAAAUAUUUUUCAAUCCACGACAUUUUGCGUGAUAAGUAGUUUGUGAAUCUAGUGAAACAGAUUAGAUAAAAACCAUCCAUCUAGUAAGCGAGACCGAGUAGUUAUAUAUGAUAAAUCAAGCUCAUAAAAAGGCUUCCUACACAGAUAAUUGAGGUUCCUUAGAAAGAAAUAUGGCAUACCUUGUCAAAGUCAUCACCACCGAGAUGGGUAUCUCCGGAUGUAGAGAGCACCUCAAACACACCAUCACCAACCUCAAGAACUGUAAGAUGAUAUUACAGAGAUCACUAACUGAUAUGAGCUAACUUAUCUGCACAUUACAAAAAAGAGAACCAAAAUCAUUUUGACCAGUAGUAAACCAAAGAAAAAAAAUACCUGAAACAUCAAAAGUUCCACCUCCCAAGUCGAACACAAGAAUUGUUUCAUUAUUUUUCUUCUCAAAUCCAUAUGCCAAUGAUGCAGCUGUUGGCUCAUUGAUGAUACGAAGGACAUCCAGACCAGCAAUACGCCCAGCAUCUUUUGUUGCUGUCCUUUGCGAGUCGUUAAAGUAUGCAGGCACUGUAAUCACGGCUUUGGUAACCUUGUCAUUUAAAAAUUUAGAUGCAUCAUCCACAAGCUUUCUCAAGACCUGAAAAGCACAAAAUUGCUUUCAACAUCGGACCAUACGUAGCACUUUCAUUAGGCCAUACAAACUAGCAAAACUAAGAUUGCCAACUUGAACGAGAAAGAACUAAGGCUAGUUUCUGAUAGAAAAAAAGUGUAAAUGCAUACACAGUAGACAACUAUUUUUGAUAAUGCCAAGGUUUCUGACAUCAAAAUGAGACGUAUAUGCUAUUUGUUAUAAUUCCCACUUAUUUCCAAUAAGAAAGGUUUACAUUACGAAUUUAAAUGUGACUGUUCUGUCUCCAAAGACCAUAAGUAACAAUACUGUCAAUUUGAUAGAGUAGUAAACGUGUAACAAGAGACAACUUUAUGCAAUAAAACUAGAAACAAAAAUACAGAUAAGACGCUUCAGGAGUGCAUGUAGCAAUGAAACAAUGCUACGCGCUCCAAUCAUAACAACAAAGAGAAUAAAACUCCAAUCUAUCAGUUGGAGUUCAAAGGAAAGGAUACGUGGGACGGAGGAACUUACCUAGAAGCCAAUCACUGGACUGGAGCAAGUUCAUAAUAGAUAGUAUGAGACGAAGCAAAACCAACGGCAAAUCGAUCAAUACAAAGAAAGAGUAAAACUCAUGCCAAUUACAGGAUCCAGCAAUGGAUCAACCGAGUUGUAUAUCUUAAUGCGAAUGUAGACUAAUGGCUUAACAGAAGCCAGAGGAGGAAUAAGACUAACAAAAUAUACCUGAGCUGAUAUCUCUUCAGCUGCGAACUGUUUGCCGAUGGCAGGGCAAUCAAGCUUUACAUUCCCGUUCUCAUCCCUCACCACGCGAUAGGAGACUUGCUUCGACUCCUCAUCCACCUCUGACAUCUUCCGCCCGAUGAAUCGCUUCACCGAGAAGAAGGUGUUCUCCGGGUUCACGACCGCCUGACGCUUGGCGAUCUGACCCACAAGCCGGUCCCCGUUCUUGGUGUACGCCACCACGGAUGGCAUCGUCCGCUGGCCCUCGGCAUUAGUCACGAUCGUGGGCUUCCCGCCCUCCAUCGCGGCCACGGCCGAGUUGGUGGUUCCCAGGUCGAUCCCCACCACCUUUUCGCACACCACGCGGAGAGGAGCGUGGCUACCGCCGCGACGGCUGCUCCUCCGCAUGCUGAGGCGGGCUUCUUUGAUGUCGUUCGGACCGAAGAAGAGGAAAGCAGAGGAGGAGAAGGGCUUCUUAGUGGAAGGAAAGGUGGCGGCGGCGGUGGGGGAGCCGAGAGCGUGUAUUUGGGCGGAAAACGCCAUCGACGAUCGACGGAAGAAACCGUAGCCCAAAUUAGACGACGAAGACGGAGGCAGAGCUCUGUUCUGGUUUUCGACUUCGGCCAGGGGAUAAGGCGAGCAGAGGUGGAGUCGAGGGGUUUAAUGGGCGGUUGGUGGAGGCACGUGGCAGGUUCUGGAAUGUCCUGGGAAGGUCGAAAAGGUUCAGUGAGGUAGGAAGCCGACAACGGAAAUCUCGAAGUCGCAACAAAUACUGGCCAGUGUAGCUUAAGCGCAUGAAUUAUUAUUGCAGACACGCUGGCUUCGAUCACAUGAAUAGCCCAAACAAACAAAUACUCACAACUGUCCCUUUUUUUUAAUAUGAAGAAAUUUAAUUGCCAACAGCUGAUGAAGGUAGAGUUUGUGAUUUGUUUGUACAACCACCAUGCAUCUUUUGCGUGGCAUAUUCGCAGUACAGAGUCUCCCAGUUGUUUCUCUGUUGGGGGCAAAAUUAAAAAGAGAUAACUAAAAGUAUCGCUUUUAUGAAUCUAAGAUAAUAGAAUUAUGAACUUCAUGUAAAAGGCUGUCGAUUCUAGUAAAAGUGAAUUUCAUUGAACAAUAAUCUACAAGGUGAUUGAAUUCAAUAAUUCAUAGAAACAAAUAGCAGAAUAUAUAUAUAUAUAUAUGUAUAUAUAUAUAUAUAUAUAUAUGUGUAUAUAUAUAUAUAUGUAUAUAUAUAUAUANNNNNNNNNNNNNNNNNNNNUAUAUAUAUAUAUAUAUACAUAUAUAUGUAUAUAUAUAUAUAUAUAUAUGUAUAUAUAUAUGUAACAUCAAUGUGUGUAUACAUUUUACAUACACGUGAUAAUCUAACCUGACUUUCCGGGUUGCUAUCAUCUUCAUCAUCGCAUGGCAUGGGAUGGACUAGCUAGUGGCGAUCACUGAAAGAGGAGUACAGAGUUGAGAUGUUCAUUGCAAGAAGACACAAAAAAAAAUCAAAAUAUAUGAGUGUCUUACACCUACCUACGAUUAAUAGACACAAGAAGACACAAGUUGAGAUGUUCAGUACAAAGUAAAUCACACAUUCUAUGUGUGGUUUCAGGUGACAGACUUUGAUUGAUUACAAGCAGAAAGCAGGUGCAAAACAAUGUUGAAAUGAUAUGGGACCGAUCACCUUAAUGGGUGGUGGUGGCAGAAUCACUAGUGGCACUACCCAGCUAUGCAUGCGAUCUGAACAGGUGUAGAUAAUGUCAUGGUGCUCGUCAUCGAAAUAAUUGCCGGUCCUACACAGCAAGGAGAUCAGCGACUGAGGUGCUUGGCACUGAAUCAGGGACGUCAGGAUCCUUGGGAUCGAAGUCAUCAGAAGACAGCAUCGGAGCGAUCCCAUGUUCGUCCAGUCUCCCAUCAACGUACACCACGUGAAUUUGCACGCCUAGUGGAUCCGACAAAGCCUUGAUAUAUUUGUGGAAGCGAUUAUUCCCGUCACUCGUGGGCCAAAUAGUCUGACGACGAAUUCCUUGUGCCUCAAGUUGUCUAACACGAUGCACCUUAAAGAGGGGCAGAACUGCCCAGCAACAGCAGGCUAUAUUAGAGAACACGGAACGAAGAGAAGCAGCACAUGGAAUUCAGUAAUGCUUAUGCUUUAAUGUUCCUCACUUGAAGUCAAUUGUGUCUGAUCACUUGAAGGCUAUAUUGAACAGCUCAACAAAUAGCAAAAGAAAAACUAUUCUGGAUUGGUUAGCUAAACGAUCAGAGGCCGUCGAUCUCUUCUGUGUUAAAAUGUUUUCUUUUGAAAUGGUUAAUUUCUUAAAGUGCCACUGAAGGCACUAGUAUGCAGGGAGAAUAUGCUGAUAACUUAAUAUAAAAUCAUAAAGAAAAUUAUCUAACAAUAUACUAUUUGCAUUUCAGAAGGGAAAUUAAGAUAUUACUCACUGAUAUCAUGCUUACCAAGUAAAUUUCAUUAAAGUUGGUCCGAUCCUCACCAAACUGAGAGUUUCUAGUCUUACAUUGCUCGAGACUUGCAAAGAUAUGGUCUCUUUCAACUUUGUCUAGCUUUUCCCAGAUAUGCUGCUGCUUUGAACAACACAAUUAAGCAUGACACUUUCCUUGAUGUUAGCUGAAAAACAAAUAUAAUUUAGGACUACUUAAUCAUUAACAUUGUAGAAAAAGCAUAUGAAAAAAAAUCAUUAUGUGAUCAGAUAGGCAAACAGAAAUCUCCUAUAGAAUUUUAUCUCAUCUUUUUGAACACGUCUGAAGGUAGCAUAAUCAGUGUCAAGAAUCUGCAAAUGUCUCACUAGAAAACAAGAUAUAGUAAAACAGCAUCCAUUGAAUUAAUUGACGCUUAUAGUCUGUUUCCAAUGCUGAAAGGUUCUCCUGUGAUAAUGACAAUGGGUGACAACAACGAUUCCGAGUUUGUAACUAAAUUUGACUACACAUUACCCUCAACAAUUCAAAUAUAUAUAAGAUGAGCCAGAAUACAUCAAUCAGCUGGACCAACUAUGAAUUUUCAUACUACAAACCCCAUUCUCAAAGGUCUCAAGAAUCACAUGCAAGAAAUAACUCAAAAAGGUUACAAUUUUUUCAGAUGGGCUUGAGGGAAUGUAAAGAAGAUUAGUGGAAGCAUCCAACAUGUGGAACAAGGGCACCAAAAUAAAACAUUUGUACAAGCAAAUCUACAUGAAUUGAAAUUAAGUUGAAUCCUUCUCUCAACAGACGAAAUUGAAGAAACAGGGUGCGAGAAUACAGAGUGAAGAAUCUAAAAGAGAUGUUCUCAGUGCCAGAUAACUGAAACCAUCAGAAGUCAAGGUAUUAGUUUAUUACAAUGAAUCAAAGAUAUCACAGGAGGUAACAUAAGAUGCAGGAAUCAGGAUCAGAACAACCAUAACUUCCAAGGAUCAAUUCUAGCUAUAGCAUUUAACUGUCAUGUUGAAGAUUUAUAUACAAGAAAGAAAAACUUGAAUAAAAUGUUCGACGAAAUUAUAAACCAAAUUGACUUAUAGCUCGGAGAUGCAGGCAAAAACUGUCAUGAAAUAAAGAUCCAGGAAAACAAAGACAGAAAAAAUGGUACAAUUUUAUUGUUCAAUUCUAUUGUAAGAGAAAUAAUGGCACAAAUUUUCCUACAAGGAAAGCAUGACGUUGAACUAACCGGAUAGCAGACGAGAGAGGGGAAAGAACCAAGGCCAAAGAAAUAAGUAUGUCAAUCAAGUGAGAGGCAACCUCCAACAAGCCAAAGAUACCAGCACAAAUAACGUAUAAAGGCGGGAAUAAAAGAUCAUUCUAGCUAACAACUCGCUGCAAAUCUUGUGGGUUCCGAUAUCCUCAUGCUAGAAUGACCUUCACGAAAAAUAUUCCGUAAAUUUAUGACUAGCAAGAAAUAUCUGUUAUCUUGGUGCUGGUGAAGAAUUCUAAGAGACUCAGCAAGAAAGACUCAAAACGUUAAAGGAAUAUUAGGACCCACAGAAACCAAAGAUAGUCGAAAUGGUAUAAAUACAGCUUGUAAUGGCACAAGUUCUACUGCAAGAGAAGCGCAGUGAUACAUCGUCUACAUGGCAGUCAAUAGAGGGGAACCAAGGCCAAAGAAAUAAGAUGUUAUUUAAGCGAGAAACAACCAUCCAGAAUCCAUCAUAACAUCAAUAAACCAAGUUAAGCUGAAACACAAGAUAGAAAGAAUCAAGAAAACGUAAUGCAAGGGACAAUGACAGAUCACAGACAACCAGAGGAAUCAGGAAGCGAACUAUGAUAGCUGCAAUGCAACUCCAAUGCCUCGUCACAGCACCAAGAUCUUGACAAAGCAGGACCAAAAGAAUCACCAUUCAAGAUCCACUUACAAUAACUCCAGCAUCGAGCCAAGAAACGAGCGCAUCACCUUAUCUCCGUACUCCAGAUCCCGCGGCACGUUCUGCUCGUUCCUCUUGGGUUCCACGAUCUAUUGUUUCGCGGCAACAAUAGAUGCAAACUCAUCAGAGAAAAGCAUUCGAGAAACCGUCUCAAGAACCAGAUGCAACUCAAGAGAAGAGAAGAAGUACGAGAUUGAACGCAAUGAUUGAAUUCAGAAGUCGCUUCCAGAACUCGAAGCAAGUGAAGAGAAAAGACGAUGUAUAAGAUCAAGAGCAUUACCUUAGCUACGUCUUCGAGUUCCUUCUGCCCGUUCUCCUCAUCUCUCCCGGGAACCUCGAUCUUUGGUUUCAGGGCAACAAGUAAUUGAAACAAGUAAGCCCAUAAGGAAGAAUCGUUCAAGAACACAAAGAAGGCUGAGAGAAGAGGCGAAGUAUGAGAUCAAGAACAUUACCUUGCCUCCAGAUUGCACCUCCUUCCGCUCCUUCUCCUCUUUCCUCUCGGACUCCUUCUUUCGUAUCCAGAAGCAAACCCAGAGGAGAGGAACAUUCAAGAAACCGCUUCAAGAAAGUGAAGAAAAUCAAGAGAAGAGGCUACAGGAUCGAGCGCAUUACUAUCGCUCCACGAUGGAGCUCCUCUUGCUUCUCCUCGUCCCUCUCGGGCUCGUCGCUCUCCGGGUUCGCGGAACCUUGGAGGGGACUCGACGUCGCUGCUGCCUCACUCCGCUCUUCGGGGAUGAAAGGAAGACUUGUAUAAGCGGGGCAGGGGGGCAAAGGAGAGGCAAGGUCGAGUGAUAACCAGAUUACCCUCGUGGUUGGGCUCGGAACCGUAGCACGUGGCUCGACCAAUUUCACACGACCGACUUCUAAAUAUAGCGUGACCGUUUCUCGACUCCAUCACAGUCUCACUAGCUAUAUCAAAUAUCCGGAGCACAACAGAGUGCCAAGUGUAGUUGCACGAAUAUUAAAGCAUCCUUGUCUACGGCAACGUAGUGCUAAGCGCAUUUUUAAUUACAACUUUGGUUGUGCCAGUAUCGCACCAAGUGUAUUUGUGCGAAUUUUAAAGUAUUCUCGUUCACCACAGCCGACCUAUAAGUGCACUUGCACGAAUCUUAAAGCAACACAUGCCUCGACCGUUUCACACGACCGACUUCCAAAAAUAGCGUCACUGUUUCUCGACCCUUGCUAACUAUAUCAAGCAUCCGGAGCACGGUCGGGCGCCAAGCGUCGUUACACGACUAUUAAAGCAUCGGUGUCUACCGCAACCGAGUUCUAAAUGCAUUCGCACGAAUCUUGAAGCAUUUCAGGAUCAACUUUCGUUGGGCUCGGAUCAGCAAUACAAGGCUCGACCAACUCCACACGACGGACUCGUAAGCAUGGCGUGACCGUUUUCGACUCUUUCACCAGCUACAUCAAAUAUCUGGAGCGCUGUAGGACGCCACGUGUAUAUGCACGAAUCACCGCGUGCGAAGUGGAUUCGCACGAUUCUUAAAGCGAUUUAAGAUCACGUGAUCGCAAAACGGAUCUCAAAGCAUUCCAGGAAUGUAACUUGAGUCGAAGGACUCCGCCCUCCAUCUCCACGCCGUGGACGGUGUCUUUUCCGGUGAUCAUCAUCAUCAUCGGUCGAAGGACUCCGCCCUCCAUUCCAGGAAUGUACCGAUUCUUGUCGCCGUACGGUCGGAGUACGUGAAGAAUUGUCCAAUCCGAUACCAUCCUUAUACGCCAGCGAAAACCGUACACAACAACGGCAGCUCGUGAUGCAUGAGGUAGAUAUUACCUAUCCUUCCGCCGCUGUGACCACACGCCGAAGACAAAGGAAUGUCUUACACAGAUAAGACACAGUGCUCCUCCGUUUCACAAAGGAAUAGCCUUCUUUGUUCGUGGCGGACGAAGAAACAGUUUUGCUUUCACCUCCAACGUAAGCCUUUCCCAUCUCCAUCAACCUUUUCUUCAGCUGAUGUGACUCUUAAAUGGAGUAUCCCAUGUUUUCCCAUUUCCUCUCUGGAUUAUUCUGUCUCUUUGCAAGUGUUGCUGAAGGAAAGAAAGAUGCUAGAUCUGUUUCCACAUUAAAUGCCAGUCCUCAUGCCUCAAAUAUUCCUCUUUUGUUCGUAUGCCAAUAAGUCAAAUUCUAAAAGUUAGAAUUCACUAUUCUCUCUUGAGUCUUUUGCUAUCCUCCAAAGUCUCCAUGCUUGGGCUUUGGUUUGUGCUCCUUUAUUGGUUAUUUAAAUGGACUUUUAUCAUCAUAUUAUUUAAGACUCUAAGAAUGUGAUUUCAUGACCUUUGGAAUAUAGGAUACUUAAGUGUUUAGACAUUCGAUAGUUAGUGUUAGUCCAAAAAGAAUAAAUUGUUAAUUUAAAUUACAAAGUCAAUUCGAUCGUGUUGGAUUUUAAAUUUUGGUCCACUAUCUUACGAUAUAAAUCUUAAAGAGGUGAUUAUCAAAAAUCGACACUUGUAGUAGGAGAAAUAUUUUUUGAAUUGAAAAUGAUAUGAAGAAUAUUUUUUUAUUUUUAAUUUGUGUUGGCAUGAUAGAUUUAUUCGAUCUAUUUUAUCGUUUUGGAUAAAAAUAGAAUUUUAUUUUUUAUAGGGUUAUAGAGAAACCUAAACAUUUUUAUACAAGUGGGGUGGGAAUAAGAAUAUAUUACAGGAGUAGGAAUCAUCACCUCAUUGACUCUAAUAUGCAUAUAAAUUUUCUACCUCCAUGAUUGUGUUAAUGAUGUCAUAUUCAACUUAAAUAGGCAGAUGUUUCAAGUUAACUAAGGAAUGAGGUGUUGAUGGUUUAAUUAAUCAAUUAAUUUUUUUGUUCCCAUCCUCCUAGACUCAAACUUGUGUUGUUCAACAUGGUCAUGAUUGGAGCUGUCUAAUUUUGCUUACUCAAAUAUCAGAAUCAUUAGUUGCCAUGUCUGCUCAAAUCAUGCAACAUAACAUGGUUGGAAGGUCUGCUAGACUCCAACUAGCCUUGCUCUUUGUUACCUCUACAAAUUACUCCACUAAAUAUGCAAGCUUGUGAUGUUACCAAUCAACCAUGAUAAUUUGCAUUUUGUGGUGGCAUAAUUACCAGAAUGAAAACAGAUGAAAGUGACCUAAUCCUAGGGCCAUAUAUGACAAAAGACUGGUUGUCAUAUGCAUGCAUGUCAAAGAAGUCAAGAUUAGUACUUUUAAUACAAGGUUCUCUCCAAUAGUUAAAUGAGUUGCAGAUCCAUCUGUCUUGUACACUUAUUCUCUUUCAAGGAAUGAUGAUAGCACAAGAUUAUCUUAUCAUGGUGGCUUGAUAAGAGAAGAAUAUAGUAAGAAAUCAGUGGAGGAUGCUUAUGGUGUUGACUAAGGAAUUAGUUAGCAGUGUCUUCUCACUUUUGUGGGGUCUUCAAAGCUUCAAUGGAGACCUUCCACAUUAAUAUAUAUAUAUAUAUAUAUAUAUAUAUAUAUAAUUUUUCUGGUGAUGGGGUCUUCAGUUGAGUGUGUUCUAAUCAAGUCUUAAGCCACUCUUUGUUCUACAACAAGCUUGAUUUUUCUUUUUUUUUUUGUGUGUUUUUUGGGUUCAUAUUAGACUAUUUUUUAUUACUUUUAAUAUGUAUAAUAAGUACUUUAAGAGUAGUUCUAUGCAUUAGAUCUUCUACUCCCACUGUGCUUAGAUCAUAUGAAAUGGGUUUGAAUGAUUAAACUGUAACAUAUUAACCUCAAUCCACAAUAUUUUUAUGUUGAGAGGCCAAUGCUAAUUUUCCUUUUUUGGAAGAUUGAGUUACGUUUGUGAGAUCAUCCAUUAAAUGAAUAGAAUAUUCACUCUUUAGAUUGAAGUCUAAUCUUCAAACAAACUAAAUCCAACUUAAAUUUAAAGAAAAGUAAGUUUAACAACAAAGGAAAAGUAGAAAACAUUGAUUAGUCAGAACUAAUUUCCUUCACAUGAUAUUAAUUUCCUAUUAAUUCACUUUAUAUUUUUUGACCUCAUCUUCUUAUAAUUAUAAUUACGUGAAAAAUUAUGAUAUUAAAUAUUUGGUCCGAGUUUGAAUCAUAAAAAACUAAUUUUUCCAUACCAAUAUUUUUUUUUAAAUUUAAGUCUUCAAAAUAUGUGAAAAAGAGACUAAAAUAUGAAGUUAUUUUUUUUCACAUAUUAUAAUUAUAUUUUUCUCAAGCCUGAUAGGGGUAUUUUAGUAAUUUAAAUAUUAUUAAUUAAAAAAUAAAGAAAAAUAGAGAGAGGUGGUGGAAGUAGUAAGCGGCGGUGAACAGAGAGCGAAAGCGUGCUUCAGAGGAAACACAGCUACUUGGUGGGGGAAAGAACCAAAAAGCUAAAAAGAAAGAUCGAAACCCUACGAGAUCGGUGAGCUCUCGUCUUCUCCCCCCCCCCCGGCGUUCCACCCCUUGGAAUCCCUUCUACAUCUUCCCAAUUUCCCUCCUCCCCCGACCCUUAAAUCGUGGGAAAGCUGCUCGCUUGCCUCCGCGAUCAGCACCGCCGCUCGAUCCCGGCGCCGGUCGCUGAAUGCGGCCCGUUCAUGCCUCGAAUUCGUACCGAACGGAGGCGGUAAUCGGAAAAGUAGCUGGCUUUUGCGGGUGGCGUCGCCGUUGAUGGAGAAACCCUAGGUGGAGGAGGGCUGAGCCGGGAGGAGAUCGGAAGCAGUCGGUGUCUUUGGAGGUGAGAAACGAUGACCUGUGGGGUUCUCGGUGAGGUGAUUCCGUAGCUCGAGUGAGCUUCUCUGUGCUUUCGAUAGAAGUUCGCCUGAAUUGUUUGUUUUGUCGUGGCUUUGUGCUGAGCUCGAACCAAUCAUUUCUAUUCGACGUAUAAUUUCUGCGGGCUUCGAUCUGAAGUGUGAAAAUGUUGAUGUGCACCAGCUUGCAUAAUCUUGCCUUUUAUUGCUAUGUGGCAUUACGCAUUUAAUGGUAGAAAGUAGUUAACAUCACAGCUGAAUCCGCCGAUGGCUUCAAUUUGGUUCUUUAGCGCAACAACAAAAAUUGUCUCUUGUAUUGCUCGUUUCGAACGUUGUAAUUCUCAAGCUUGGUCUACCAGUCUAUGUCAUUAACGCCACAAUUUUGUGUUUUCUUUUUUGGCAUAUGGCAACUAGCAUUAGCGUGUGAGGAGCCGAAAGCAAGCCUGUUUGUAAGACGGGGACUGGGUAGCUGAAAGAUGCCUCCUUCACCCUCGUUGAGGCGCUCUCCUGUGAGGGAGCUCAGGAUGGAAAGUUCCCACAAGAGGGGGCACAGUUUUGAGAAUAGAUUUCCUCUCAAAGCCAAGGACGAUGAUCUGGUCCUGUUCAAUGAGAUGCAGAACCGUGAGAGAGAUAACUUCUUGCUGCACCCAUCCGAUGAUUUUGAUGAUUCCAUAUGUAAUGUCCUUAUCCCUCCCUUGAUUUUUGUUCUUUAGCUUUUCUUGUGCUUGGAUUUUUAUUCAUUCUCCUAUUGCUGGACCAUCAACUGUUUCUUCUCCACAUCAUCAGCAAAGUUGAGAUAUAUUUCGGAUUUCAAGCUCAACAUACCAGCUCAUGGAGAGAGCAGUGAUCUACUUAAUGCAGAUGGUGAGAAAAAUGACUAUGACUGGUAAGUGCCCCCAUGUAAGAGACUUUGCAUAUCAUCACAAAUUCUUAGCCUUUUCAUUGUGUCAGUAUGAGGCAGUUAUUCUCACACAAUGUCGAAUGGGCUAUUGCUAUGUUUUUGCUGAACUUUAAGCAUGUAACUAAAGCUAAGUGCUGGUUGUUAUGUAGACAAUUAUUAUAGCCCCCAUUCGUCUGAUCUUCCUUUUUGAGUCAAUUUUGGUAUAUUCAUGCUGCAGUUAGAUAACAAAGUCGUACCACCUGUUGUUGGUAGUUUAGCCAUGCGAAGUCAUGACAGGUUAAUUGUUUGUCACCAAUCAGGCUGCUGACUCCUCCUGAUACUCCCCUAUUCCCUUCAUUGGAUGAUGAUGAGCCUCGACCUGUUAAUGUGUCCAGAGGUAGAGCAAGAAGUCAACCCAUUUCAAUUUCAAGAACAUCUAUGGUAAGAUCCUGUUUCGUGAUAUAAAUCUUGUAUGGGAUACUUUUUUUUUUAAUCAUUUCAUCUUUUCUUCUCUUUUGCUGCCACUGUAUUUGACAUUCUUCUGUGGUUAUAGUGUGAAAAGACUCCAAGAACAAACAGAAGCAGUGCGAGUCCACGUCGAUCAAGUCCAUCUCCAGGAUCUAGUUAUAAUGUUGUUCAUUCAAGAACUAGGCCGUCUUCAGCUCCUCGCUCAAGCCCACCUCAUGUUCUUCGACCAACAACACCCUCACGAAGACCUUCCACUCCUCCAGCCAAGCCUUCAUCACCUGCUCAAAGAUCUUUGACUCCCACGUUACGUAGGAUGAGCACUGGUUCCAGUGGGCAGGCAUUUGCUGGUAAAAGGGGAACAUCCCCCAUAAAGGUGAACCAAGGAAGUUCUGCCUCCCCAAAGUUGCGAGGAUGGCAAUCAAGUCUUCAUGAUUUCUCCACAGAUGCACCACCAAACCUUCGAACUUCUCUGACGGAUCGGCCAGCAUCACAUGUGCGGGGUUCGCCUCCAGCAUCUGGAAAUGGAAGGAAUUGUGUGUCAAAAUUCGGAAGGCAGUCAAUAUCACCAUCUUCUUCUAGAAGUGCCAGAUCGUCACAUAAUAGUGAAGGAGAUCACUUUACCUCUAUUUGUAAGCCAUCUGCAGCAUCUUCCUGCGAAGAUGAUGUUGAAUCACAUGCAUCCAUGGGAGUUUCUCCUAAUGCUGCUACAAGAAAAUAUAGAGAUUUUGCAAACACUAGAGCUAUGGGAUUCUCCAAAAAAAAUUCCAGAUCUCCUUCUUCAUGUUCUGCACCAAAAAGAUCUUUUGAUUCAGCACUUAGACAGAUGGUAAGGUGUCAUUUAUUGCUUUUAUCUGCUGUUCUGGUCAUAUCUUCGUUAUGUUUGGUGCAAGCAUUACUUUUCCAUGUUGCAUUAGCAGCAUGUAUGAUCUCCCUAUACUCAAUUUCUUUUUUCGGGGACUUCUGUUGGCCCUUGAACUACAGCAUUAUUUUAAAUUUCAUUUCGUGCUGCAAUCAACCUGCCAGAAUUCAUCUCAACAUUCUCAUUUAUCUAUGUCAACUUUUAAAAUACAUCCUAUUUCUGAUCAUUCUAAUGCUUUUUUUGGUCUCGUAGAACACCCCUUGAAUUUAAGGCUUGUCCAGCUAUUGUGUAUGUGGUCACCUUGCAUGGAUAUAAUGUUCUUGUCAUUGUAAUAUAUAAUAUAUAAACAUGAAGGUAAAAAGUCUUAUGCAUUUUAUCACUGUUAAGAAAUGGGAAAUUCUCACGUGUUUUAAAUUGCUUAUGAAUUUCUUUAAAACUUGUUAGAUAUUUUUGUGUGUCUUCUGAUGGUUUGUUUACUUUGCUGAGGAGUACAACUACUUGUGUGUGUGCACUUGGUAUUGAUCUGUACAUUUUUCAAGUUUCUCUGUCCACUGUAGGAGUUUUCUCCAUUUCUUAGUCUAUUUAUUAUGCACAUCUUUGCUGUUUGAUUCAAAGCUUUGGUUAUUAUGCAACUUCUUGUGUUCUAUUCAUGCUGCCUCUGUUGUAUAUGAAUGGAGUAAGUGAGAAAUGUGCUUGUCUUUGCACUUACUGAAUUUCUAUAUUCUAUUUAUGCGUAGGAUCACCAUAAAACUCCUCAAAACAUGUUCAGGCCAUUGUUAUCGAGUGUACCUGCCACCACAUUUUAUGUUGGAAAAGCAAACAGUACGCAUCGGCCCAUGUUUUCUAGGAAUUCUUCUCAUACAAAUAGUAGUUAUGCGAGUUCUGAGCUUGGCGCUAGUGUUGCUCCUUAUUUGGAGGAUGGCGACCAUGAUCAGAGUGAAUGGGAGAAGAAAAAGGAUGCUGGUUUCCAGGAUGAAGUCUUUAUGUUUGAUAAGUUAGAUGAGAUAGGCGAAGAUACUGGUAAUGACACUUGUGCUGCAAAUCUUCAAAGUAGUAAUGAGUUCUUUGAUGGGUGUGUGACCAACAAAGAUGGCUCUAUUUUGAAGUGUUCUACAGGUGAUGGUAAUGCAGUAAAUACAACAAUUGCUUGUCCAGGUUCUUCAUGUGCUGCUGAAUGUUCUGAGAUUGUUUCUGCAGAAAAAAUGAGUAUUUGCUCAAAAUGUGGAAGAAAAUUCAUGGUCAUUUAUAAGGAUAUGGAUGUGGAUGUUUGUCAAGAAUGUUCUGAUGCAUAUGAGUUAAUAGAGUCGGAGGAACCUGGGACUAUUCAAGUCCCAAUGCGAGACGAAGGAAAUUACAAAAUGGGCCAUAAGGUGCAAAGCCAAAUGGGAAUGUCUGCACACUCUGAGAGUAAAAACGAACUCAGGCCUAGGCAACAUGAACGAAGCAGUGAACAAGCAGUAACUAAUUUCCCUGCAGAUAGUGGAUUAUAUUUGCUGGUGAGCGAUAAAAGAGAAGAAAUCCCAUCUAAAGGAGAAGUAUUCGUACCAGGUGAAUUAAGUGCUUCAAGAUCUAGUGAUAAACAUGAAUAUCAACAAAACCUUCCUAAACAGGAAGUAUUUGUACCAGGUCAAUUAAAUGCUCCAGAAUCUAGCGAUAACUGUGAAUCUCUGCAGGCACAGCCAACUCCCAGUAUAAGCGACAAGGUUGACAACUCUGAGGGCACAGGCAUUGCGGUACUUCUAGCGCAUAGGUCAAGCAGCAGAAAGUGGCCUGUCAUGCAAGGAAAAAUUUUUUCUGCUGCAAAUAUACCUUUUUCCGAGCCAUCUUAUAAAAGAGAUAAUAUGACUGCCAUGAAGCGCAGUUUUGGAAGGGAUAGUUCUUCUGCUUCUUCCUCAAUUGAUCUGGGAUCGUCUGGACAAUUGGAUGGCCGCAUUGGGCGCCAAUUAAGCAGCAGGAAGGGUGAGAUGGAAAACGUGAGAGGUGAAAGUCAUACUAGCGCCUGGGGUUGUGGUUCACAUUCAGAUACUAAUAGUACGGUCACAGAAACACUGGUUCACCCUCAAAAUGAAUCAAAAGAAGUGUCUUGUAGUUUUGUCAAAGUCAUUGAGAAUGAUGCUGUGGUAGAGAUAUUAGUAGAUGCUCGAGAGCCUAGUAAUUCCUUUGGAGAUGCAGAUUUGAAUGCAUUAGAGCAUAUAUCUAUGGAGCAAGCUGUUACAGAUGUAUAUUCAAAUGCAUUAGAUCACACAUCUAUCGAGCAAACUGUUGUAGACAUAGAUGUAUCCAACUAUACUGGUGCAUCUUUGGCAUCAAAUGACCUGUUACUGCAAUCAAAAGAAGAACCUGGUCUUCAAUUGCAUGAUACUACUGUAUCAAAUAAUUUAGGUGAGAGCUGUGACUUGUGUGAAGACACUACCCAAGUACUUUUUAACAACAGCGAAAGCAACAUUGAAGACAUAGAGGCACCGGUUGCUACAACAGAUUCAUGUUCUAUCGAAGACAAUUAUAUGCUGAAUGAUACUGGCCAUCAAAAUGGUUUCUCUGGUGUUGCAACAGAUAGCCCUUCUGCCAUGAUCUCGGAACAGCAAAAUGAUAAAGUCACUUUGCAGGAUGAACAAGAUGAUUGUACACCUGCUCAAGUGCCAAAUUCUGUCGAGAAUUUUCAAGAAGGUUCAAUUUCCACAACAUCUGACAAAGAUGUGUUGCUUUCUGAAUUAGAAUCUAUUUCCAAGGAUCUUUCUAAUGGUACGUAGCUUUACUUGUUAUUUCACAUCUUGUGAAGAGCUUUUCUAGUCAAAUUGUGAUUGCUUUUUGUGUUUAUAAGUCAAUAUUUUUACUCUCACUAUCCUGGAAUGUAAAACAAAUUUAAUGUUUACUCUGUGCUUGAUGAAUUCUUGUCAGAUUCCAGCUGUUGUAGAUAUGUGUUGUUUUUGCUUUUCCAUCUUUUUUUCUAUGCAGCUUCUUGGGAUUUGUUGAACCUAGGAAAUUAAUUCUCUCUAUAUGGUGUUUUUACAGUAUGUGCUUUGUCUAGUACACAGGACGAAUAUCUGAUAUCAUUGUUUUCUUUUGUUACUGACACUUGCUUCUCACAGAACAAGUCAUGACGGUCGAAGCUCCAAGGAAACAGAUGCAAAGAAGUUUUACCCUGGAAGAAGCAACAGAUACAAUACUCUUCUGCAGUUCUAUCAUCCAUGAUAUGGCCUACAAAGCUGCAACAAUUGCGAUCGAGAAGGAGCUGGCUCUAUAUGAGUCUUCUCAUCAAGCAGUUACAUUUGUGGGAAGUUCUGUUUCCAAUUGGAAGGAUUUGCGAAAUAUAUCCAACAAAUAUAUUCAGAACUCACAAAAGGUUAGACGAAAAAAACCAGAAACUGCUGAAAAGAUGCCACUUACGGAGGUGGGAAACAAUGUCAGAAACUCAGAGAUUCCAUCGUGCAAUGCUGAAGCUCCGCAAGUGGUUGACAGUGUGAAGCCCCCAAAGCUGGAGUCGAAGUGCAACUGCACAGUGAUGUAGGGAGUUUCUACUGCCUUUGGUUGAUACGAUCAACAAUCAACGGGCAAAUGCAUUAUUUGUUGGAUUUCCUUCCUUCAGUAUAGCAUUAGCACCGGUUUCUAUAUUCUUCGGACGAGGAGGUGUUUAUAAUUCACGAGUAGCAGCACAUGAGCUUCCAUCUUGAUUCAUUCUCGGGAAUAUGCCACACAAACCUGUAAAGGGAAUACCCCUGGCAUCAGCUCAAGAGGGAUCAGAGGUUUGUGGCAUGCUUCCACAUCUUUCUUGCUAGAUCGGUUGUAUACUCUGAUGCUGUUCUCCUGUCUCUUCAGGAGGAAUGCGCCUACGGUAUUCUUUUGUAAAUUUUGUUCUUGGUGUGCUUCUUUAUGGCUUUGAAUCAGUCAAAAAGAUCACGAGUUGAAGUGGCUGUAAUGGUUAAUGAACAUUGAACACCUCUUUCAUACCUAGUCUUUGUUCUUCGGAGAGGAUUGUGAUAGAUUUUAGUUUUAUCCUCUUAUCUAAUCGCGUCUUGAACAGCAACAAAACGAAAUACAGGAAAAGCUUGCUGGCCAGCUUUUCGGUAUCUUGAUCCAAUAAAUUUUUGUUUUUCGGGGAGGAAAAUUUUCAUAUUUGUUCGUCAGGGGGAUUAAAUGUGAGUAACAAUUUCUUUGCAAAUUGAACUCAACAGCUGGAUUGAUUUGGUGAUUUGAGGCAAAUGGUUGAUGAGAGGCAAAUGUGUUUGUAUAUCUAAAUAUUUAAAGGGAGAUACAUCUUAUAUUAAAAUUUCAGGAUAAUCCUUUGUAUUUUUGAACAUGACCUUAGUUUGCUAUUUAUAAUUUUUAUUAAUUCUUUAAAAAAAUAUUAUUUUAUCAUCGACAAUCAUAAUAUUAUUGAUUUUAUUUUAUUUUAUUCUCACAAUCUCUUAUUUCAUCUUGCUCUUUACCUGUCAACAUCAUCGAGAAUAGUAUAUUUAUGUCGAUAUAAAUAUAAAAAAAGUUUUAAAAUUAAAUUAUAAAUAAUAAAAAAGGGAUGAUAAAUAAUAGUAAUAUCUUAGCGUGACUCGUCCGCUGCAGCCCAUUGUGAACUUUAUUACCGGUUUUACCCCUCACUACAGCGACGAUCGAGAUGAUUACCGAGACAACGCGGGCCGUCUGAUGCGGUAAUAUAUAGCUUAUAGCAUGGCAAACCAAACCAAAACGAGCCGAACGAGUUCAAGCCAUGACCGGCCGUAAUCAAACAUCAAACCCCGAACCAAACGGCGGACGGCGAGCGGCCGCGAAUGGUUGGUUCCUCCUCCUCCUAUGACUCUCGGUCGCCCCUUUUCUCAUCGAUAGUGCCCGCCAUGCUAAUGGCGAGGCCCUCGUCCCUCGUCCCAUGAGUUUAUGGCGGGCUCGUGAUGCUGAAUCUGCAGCCAUUCCGCAUGAAAGGCAUGCUGGAAUUAUCAUCUUAUAUUAUGUGGUUUUGAUAGUAUUCCAGAAAAAGAAUGCUAAUUGCUCACUCCAAAAAGAUAUGGAGACGGAGUUAGCAAGAAUAUCUCUUAAACAUGGACACCGGAAUGCUGAUUGUUUACCCUAGAAAGAAUUAUGGAGAAGGCUCACUCUAUCUCCUUGCAAACUCGCUCUUUACUGGAGAAAGAAUUUUGGAGAAGGCCGAUGCGGUUUACUUGCAAGGUCACUCUUUUAUCACGACCCCUUUAUUGGUUUUUAAAUAGUCACCUUUAAAGUUGUAUGCCAGCAAGAAGGCUAAUUAUUCCUCCUGCGGGAGGCCAAAAGGAGGAAACGUUGUUCACCUUUUUCUAACUAACAUCAAUAAGCGUAGUGCUGCGACUUUGGUGUUAGUUUGAUCUUGGCCCUCAGUUUUCUGAGAUUUUAAGGACUUGCUUAGGAUGAAAAUUGUUCUAUUUAAGCCUGGUCAACUUUUGGUCGUUGAUCUAGUGGCUUGUUGGAUUUUUAUUUGCUUGUACUUCUUUAGUGUAUUUUACUUUAUUUAAUAUAAGAAUGUUCUGCAUGAAAAUUACAUUAGGGUUGAACACAUGGUUGUAAGGAUGCUUGCAGAAUUAGAAUGUGUACCUGUUUAGGUCCAAGUUUGACCAGAGAAGGGUUUUUAAUUAUUUUUUAUCAGAUUUUGUUAAAGAUGGAUUAAUGGCAACCAUCAGUAAUUGUGACAAGGAUUUAAGUCGUAGAGCACACUCUACACUGCCUCUUUGUCUGCAAGGGCACAACUGUAUUCAUUGAGUCUCUCCCGAUCCCAUAUUGGCAUGAGAUCAAUUCAUUGGAAUGCCCUUUUAUGGUUAUAUGAAUUCUUUUGACUAGAAUAUCACGUUGUAUUUGUUGAAUCUUGGAUUAUCAUGUAAAUUGCAAAAGAUGUGUUGCCAUUCUUUCUCCUGUGUUUGGAGAUUCUUACAUGUUACUGUAGUAUAAUUGUCUGUUAUAACUCGUAACAGUUUGACACAUGUAAUAUACUUCUACCCUCCCUGGAGAGCAGCUAUAACUUGUUUGCUGUGCUUUGCAGCUUUUGGCUGUCGCUCGCAAGAAUGGUUUGGUAAGCUAUCACUUAUCAAAUGGCAUGACUUUUUUCCUCUUUGCCUCAGCUGUUGAAAUAUGAGAGAGACUACAAAUUCCAGGUUGAAUUUCUGAAUCCUCUAAAUGGAGAGGCUUUGGACAUCACAAAAAUUGAUCAAUUCAGAUCAUUAGAUAGCUCUCUUCAAGAUGAUCAUGUUGUUCAGUUGUUGGUUUGCACCUCUUGAAAACCAAGGAAUUGAUGUUUCUUCAAUGUAAAUAUAAAAUAAAUGUCACAGUUUGUAGCUUGUAGCAAAUGUAAUACUUUCUAUGAACUUGCACCCUGUCAUUUCACCAAUCUGCGGUACCUCUUGCUAAGAUAAAUUCUGUACAAACUUGUUUAUGCACGAGAUAAGAAAUAAAGGCCUGAUUGUACAUAAUAAAGAAAUUAACUCAGCUUUUUCUCUUGUACUUUUGUUGUAUUUCACAACAAAAGGUAAUUUGAAGAACAUUGUCAUCAAAGAAUUAAAAUGAGGUAGCUAUGCAAACCAAAAAAGAGAGAGAAUUUUGAAUCUUAAAUGAUCGUCAAGUAUUCUUAGAUAAAAAAAAAAAAUUCUUUUCAUGUCAGUAUUAAAAAUUGUUGAAUUAAUAGCCUUAGCACCUGCCCAAUUUCCAUUUAGAGGGUCAAACAUGUGAUGCUCGUGUCAAAUACUGUUUUCUAGUCAUAUGAUCUGCAGGACAAUGACUAAAAGUGUUCAGAUGGUAGAUCAUUCUUGCCUUAAGAACUUUUGUCUUAUUCAUCCCAAUGCUCCAGUAUAUAGACUGCUGCAACUUUAACCGAAUGGUUUAUUUUUGAGAUCCAAGAACAAUGCUGGUGCGCAGUUUAUUUUUGGACAAUGGAAGUUGUAUGAGAACUAGAAAAGAGCGGAAUUUAGCUGGUGCAUAGUCACAAUUGUUUUGCAUAUGCAUGCAUCUAUUGAGUAAAAUUCAGUUCAGUGGAGGUAGUGCUACUUCUAGAUUUUGGUUGCGAUCUCAAAUUGCAUGCAUAUUUAUAUUUAUUCAAUUCUUUAUGUUUUCCAGGUCGGUUGCAUUACUUGUCUUGAAAAGGGGAAUGCUUGCUUGAGGUUUAUUUCCUUCGGAGAUGCAGCACAAAAUUUGAGUAUGUUUUCACGUACUACAUGGAACAUGUGCUCUGCUGGUAAAAUACUAUGUACUUCAGUAGAUAGACGCAAGAAUUAUGCCUUAUUUGGAGGGUAAGCUUUCUUGAGCUGUUAGCAAAAAUUUGGUUUGUCUUUUUGUUGGUUAUAUUUAUGGAUGACAACCCUUCAAUAAAUGCUUGCAAGGGUGGCAUAUGGCCAAACUGUUCUAGUAGUUCAAUUUUGUUUUCUUUUCUCUCAGGAAGGGUGUUGAAUUGAACUUGUGGGAUCUUGAAAACUGUAGCAAGAUCUGGACUGCAAAGCCUGUGAGUCAUUACAUUCUUUUUUAUGCAACUUAAGAAGUAUUUCUGGUCUAUCUUUUUUUUAUUAAUAAGGUUCUAUCAUUUUUCUCUUGGUUCCUGUGAAGCCUCCCUCCAACAGCCUUGGUAUAUUCUAUCCAACUUGGUUUACUACUGCAACUUUUCUGAGUGAAGGCAUCGAAAAAUUGUGGCUGGGACGAACAAUUAUCAGGUAUGGCAUUAGAGGAUCUUUUUCCAAGUUGUAGCUUACAAGCAAAAAAAAAAAAGCAGAUAUGUGGAGUCAAUCAUUUUUACAGGUCUCUUAACAUUUUUUCAAUUAUUGUAUGAGAUUGAGAAAAAUUUUGAAAGCCUUAAGUUCGAUUAUAUACUAAGGAUGACUGGCCAAUUUUUAUUAUCAACACUGCAUGCAUAUUUUGCUCGUUAACCAACUUACAGUUACUGGAAAGUUUGCAUAUGCUUAUUGGUUUUUCCUCUUUUUAUUGGUUAGUGUUGAAUAUUUUGUCACCAUAUGUUCUAUCUUUUGUAUAUGGUUAAUACCUCUUACCUCUCUUUGCUCCAGAACUCAAGAAAGCCAUGUAAUUAAUUGCUUGUGCACUUAAUUCUCUCUGAUAAUUAGUUUGACAUUACUCUUAUUUGUUAAAAUUUAUAUUUUGUGACAGGAUCGUCUUUAUGAUACUUCAGCACAAAGGAGACCUGUAAUUUCAGUUGACUUUCGAGAGACACCAAUUAAGUCAGUUUGUGAUGAUCCAGAUGGCUAUACAGUCGACGUAGGAAAUGGUUCUGGCUUCUGGGGACCUUGCUUCAUUUAAUAUGAGGACAGGUAAAGUCAUAGUUCUACAUGUUCGCUGUGUAGCUAUGCUGUUAAUUACAGUCAGCUGAUUUGUUCAUUCUCUUUUCUUUGUUGUUUCUGACGGUCAUAAUUUAUGAUUAUGAAAUUUCAUGAUAUAAGAAAGUUUGCUAAUUCUAUUAAGCUGGGUUCAUUUAUUUCUCGUGGUUGGCAAGAGCAAUGGCUCACGGUUACAUGUCGAGAAGGGAGGGGGAACAGGGCUUGCGAACUUGAGCCCUAAAUCUGUUCAAUUAUUUUUUCCUUUUUUUAUUGGUCAGACUGGACCACCUGAAACUUGGGGCAGUCUGUGUCCUGAUGUACACUCAGAGCGAUAUGUACGGCCCAUUCGUACCGGUUUAGGCGUCUGCCUUGUUGAUAUCGAACAAUAUUUUAUGACUGUAACGUAAGCAAUUAUCUGAUAGUGAGGGCUUUUAUGAAGUUCAAGAAAAUUUUGAGAUUCAUCAUGCAUUAAGAACAUAGAACCAGAACUAUACAGUUUGAACACCUGUUAUGGCAUCUAAGGUUCAGAUAUGAUUUUUAAGCAUGUGCAAUGUGUUGCACAAGCAAGGGAAUUCUGCUAACUUCUUAUGAUAUUAGCUUGUUUCUUAAUAUUAAUGAAUUGAGUGGAUUAAUUUCAAUGUGAGCUUGAGGUUAGGACUUGCUUAUUGCUGAAAAAAAAUUCUGAAGACUUAAAAAAUUAACUGUGCUUUAGGUAAAUCAUAUUCAUAGUGUCGUUAAAUUAUUCGAGAGUACCAGUCAUUUUAGUUUUAUUGAAAUUUAGUAGCAAGCAUUACUCUGAUGCUUAUGGUUUUGAAAUAUCUGACUUUUGUUAUGGUUUCUCAUUUAUAUCCCGUACUGACUGAGUAGAUUCUUAAUUUCAGGAAAAUUGCUGGGAUGCUUUAUUGGUAAGUGCUCUGGAAGCAUCAGAUCAAUAGCGAGGCAUCCAGAAUUUCCCAUGAUAGCAUCUUGUGGAAAGACUUGUAUCCUAUUAAUUCAAUAUAUUCAGUUAAUUUUACAUACUUCUACCAUUUUUUUAAGUGCUGUUCUGAGUUUCCUCAAAAAAUAGUGGUCCAUAUUGAAGCAUUUAGUUCAGUUCAGUUCAGAUGUUGAUACAAGCAAUAUGAUUGAUCACAAACUAUCCACAUACAAGAAAAUCUAGAGUUGAUAUAAAAGCAAGGUUUUAAAAUAACUGGAUAGACCAACCAAGCACCAAUUAGAAAGGGCUGGGAAUAUGAGAGUUGGUUUCAGCCUGGGUACCUUGAUAGACUUGGCAUCUGAUGGACAUGAUAUGUAACAUUUGGAUGUAUGGCUUUAGUAGCUUUUCAUUGAUCAAUCAAAGAAUGGUAGUUAUUCUAUAAUGUUUGUUCCAUAAUGGUAGUUAUUCUAUGAACAGUGUUUUUUAAAUGUACAUAUAAUGGUUUUCCAUUUCCCUUUUCUGCCUUAUGCCUAUCAGUCAAAAGUUGAUAUCCUUUCACAAGAACAUGAAAUUCUCACAUCCACUUGAUCAAAGCACUCUUUUCAAUGGUAUUAGCUUUAUCAGGAUGUUUUAACUCCUUUUUUAUACACCCACCUAGAAUGCUUUCAUCUUCUGUCGUUGUUGUUUACUUAUAUGCAUCAAAUAUUGCUUCAUAUCACUAAAACAGACCUUUUAUUUGAUCCAGCAUGCUGGUACACCAAGAUAGUUUCUUGGCAAAACAUAAGCUACUCAUGAACCACCAUCAAAUAUUGCUUCAUAUCACUAACACAGACCUUUUAUUUGAUCCAGCAUGCAGGUACACCAAGAUAGUUUCUUGGCAAAACAUAAGCUACUCAUGAACCACCAUCAAAUAUUGCUUCAUAUCACUAACACAGACUUUUUAUUUGAUCCAGCAUGCGGGUAAACCAAGAUAGUUUCUUGGCAAAACAUAAGCUACUCAUGAACCACCACCAAACCAACAGUUCAUGUUGUCAGGAACCUGCUGAACCAUUUGGUUGAUGUUUUGAGAUGGCGAUCGAAGCCAUUGUCGUAGUCGAUGUAUGCCAGCCCGAACCGCUCAGUGUAGCCUUUGUCCCACUCGAAGUUAUCAGUCAGAGACCAUGUGAAGUGGCCCUUCACCCGAACUCCCUCUCUGCAAUGAUCCAAGUUUGAAAAGGUUAGAGUUUAUCUAACUCGGUUUAGUGUUCUGCAUGCAUGAUUUAUUUGCAAUUUAAACAUGAGCUAAAUUUAGAUAUAUUGUGCAACGAAUUCCACCAUGGGAUAUUUAUAUUGUAAGAAUCAAAUCGGCCCAGGCAUCUAAAUCCAAACCAGUUUAACCCACUUGUGCAUGUGCAUAAACCAUGAUAGUGCUACCAAUAUGAGUCAUCAGUACCGGUCCAAUAAAUCACUAAAAUCAGUAUAUUUGUAUUUAUAUGAUGACAUAAAUGCAAAACAUAUGUCAACUUGGUCAGCCUAAGAACCAAGUUAUUAAAUAGUCAAUUCCGGUUCUUUUUUAUUUCCUAUUAAUGUGGGACUAAUCUUCAGUACAUUUUUUAUUUCAAUGGUAUCGACAUACCGAAUGGCCUCCUGUACUUGAGCAAAAUGGACCGAGAGGUAGUCUUGUCGAUGUGGAUCCUCACGAGCUUGCUCCAAUGGCAAAUCCUUGUCUAUUUCAGCAGUUCCUAAAAAAUGCAUCCACAUUCAAAUUAUUAGUAUCAUCAGAAUCGGUCUCAUCUACUGGCAACUAUCUGCACAGCUUCAUUCUCUGAUUAUUACUUGGUUUCAAGCUUAAGUUCAACAUAUCUCAAUCGACACUUACCAUUCUCAGUGAUGUAGAUCUUUGGGUUGUUGUAUCUCUUCUUUGUGUACAGUAGAAGUUCCUUCAUUCCAGGAGGAUAAACGUUUACCCAAGAACCAUUCUGCAUUGAAAUCAGUAACAAAUAAAAUGCAAGGACUAUAAACAUGUAGGUGAGUAUAAUUCCUUCAGCUUUCUCAUAUUUUAAGCAUGAGCCAAGAAAAGUAAGUAGUACAAAUUUUACUCUUUAUCGACCAGUAUUUAUCCAUCUGAUAAGAUAUCAACAUUCGGAUCAGUUGAUUUUGCUCAGCACAAUUCAAGAUGUUUUGUUUCUUUUUUGGAAGUUUCUGAUAUCUCCCCACUUCUCAACCUUCUCUCUUUUUAUCCUCCCCUCCUCUUCUUUCUCUCUGGCUCGGUUGACCCAUACUAGUCCGACCAAGGAUCGUUAUGGAUCCGAGAUCAAGACUUAAAACCAUGAUAUGAACAACAAAGAAAUAAAGGAGAUUUUAAAUUUAAGUAAUCUAAAAAGGAAAAGACGAGAAAAGAAAUAUAUGCUUUGCUCUUGUGAUAAUCAUAGGAGACCAAUGUAUUCAUUGGAUCACCAAGUUGAUCACAAAGUGUCAGAAUGAACUGGUUGCAGGCUAUCAUGAUGAGACAUGUUAGUGAGACAUGUCAGUGAGAGAGCAGGAUGUGUACCAGUGGACCGAUAGGGAUGCCAUUCUUUGAAUCUGCAAGAAGCAAAAUAAUUCAUGAUGUUGGGAGGAGUCAACAAGUACAUUGCAAGCAAAUAUAAGACCCUAAGCAUCUACAUUUGAAGAAGACUAUGCUAAAAAUUGACUGAUUAAAGAAUAUUUUGGUCAGUUGAACCAUAUGAGUCAUUAGUAUACAUGGCUAAUGCACGUGUUCGUUUUGUCCGAUACAUCUCUCAAUCUUCAAAAAAUGCAAAUGAUUUACCGAGUUAUAUGAAGAAAAGUAAACCCUAAUGAAGAAGAAGAAGAAACAAGAAGAAAUUAUUUAGACGAUAUAUACAUAUUAGAAAAAACAUGAUGAAAUUUUAUUGGCAUACCAAAUUGUCGGACGUAUUGAUCUUCAUAGCUACUACCAGGAGAGUGAUCUUGAACGAUCGGAUCAUGUUGUGCAUAUCUUGAAGUAUAGUAAUUGAUCCCAAUGAAAUCAUAAGACCCUUUGAUCAUUUCGGACUGUGUGUGUGUGAAGUGUGGAAGUCUCUCCCUGACUAAUGCUCUCAUGAUGAAUGGGUAGUCACCAUAAACCAACGGAUCCAUGUACCUGAACACAAAUCAUCUAUGCAUUUAGUGUAUACAUAUAUAUAUAUAUACACACACACAUACAUUAUGUUCAUAGUGAAAGACAAAAUAGGUUUUCACCAACCAUCCAAACAUGAAUUCUAUGGCUCUAUUGGCUGCCUCCUUGUCAUGAUGCGACUUGGAAUAGGGUUCAUACCACAUGCUGUUCAAGGUAAUGCCUAUUUCACCCUUUUGUGUCGCCUGCAAUGGAGAAUUCAUGAUUAGUUCUCAUCUCUUUCACAUCCUAACUUCACGAAGUUUGAUAUCUUCUGGUCGAACCAGAGAGAACCAUUUGUAAUCUCCUUGAUUCUGAUUAUUAUUUUCCCAUAAAUAUAUUGUCUUAUGGUUUGUAGUCUUUACCUUAUUAUCUUGUUGCUUACUUGGUUGACCCUAAUGUUAUAUAGUUUCUUACCUCUCUUUAGACUUGGUGUUAAUAUGAUGUGAGAAUUUAUGAUGUCAAAGAAGUUAUAUAUGACUAGUAAAAUAAGAGAGAUUUUUGUUUUAGAUUACCUGAAACUUCUCCUUGUAUAGUUUGACAACUUCUGCAUGAGCCAGAAUUUGAUUGUGAGUGACAGUGUAGGGUUCUGUGGAGGAAUCACCUACGGUGCACCCAAACCAACUGGAGCAUCUCCCAGGUGCAUGACGGCCAAAAGUAUACCCCAUGCUGCUAAAGCUCCAUGGCUCGUUCAGUGUGAUCCAGUGCUUGACUCUGUCUCCGAAUUCUUCAAAGCAUAUGCUUGCAAAAUCCUUGAAAUCAUUCCUGUAUGACGAUAACAAGAAGAAGAUGGAACAUGAAGGAUAUCCUUUUUUUGGGGUAAGAUAAUUAUGUCUUUCAUGUAUUCUGAGAGAACCAUCAUUAACAUAUGCUUGCAAAUUCCUUCAAAUCUAUUAGACAAUAACUAAGAGAUUAUGCUUACACAAUCUCAUGAUCCCGGAAACCUCCGUAUGCAUCCUCUAAUGCUUGUGGCACGUCCCAGUGAAACAAAGUGACAAAGGGUCUUAUGCCUACACAACAAUCAUAUGAUAAAAACGUGAUCUAAAAAACUACUAAAGUUAGUUAUCGAAUGGUCAUCGGAGACUCGUACCAUUUUUAAGUAACUCAUUGAUUAGAUUAUUGUAAUAGUUGAUUCCUUCCGGGUUGACACCACCUAACAAUGUGCCCUCUGCAAAACAAGUUUUAUAAUCUCGAUCAAGAUAUGCAAAUUUACUUGGCAAAAUAACCUAUUCUUGUGUAUGGAUUUCAUGAAGGAUAGUAGAGCAGAUGGAGAAAAGAUUACUUGGCAAUAUCCUUGACCAGGAAAUGGAGAACCUGUAGGAGUCCAAGCCCAUUUCUUUCGUCAGUUUCACAUCUUCCUGCAGUAUGUUGUUGUUACUGUUUGUGUGCAAAGUGAAGAGUGCCAUGAAGAGAGCUUGGCCUUCUUGGCUUCAGGAAUAACUUACCUUGUACUUGUUGUAUGAAUCAGUUGCCUUGUCUCCAUUGCUCCCGUCUUGGAUCUUCCCUGGAAGACACAAAGUGUUACCGACAAGGUUCAAUCUCUAUCAAACCCUAUCGGUCUGCACAAUCAAUCUUCAAGAUGCUAAUAUUUACGUAUGAGUGGAAAUGAUAUCUUGGAGUGUCUAGUAAUUGUUAUAUCAUCUCGGUUGGUUUUUGAAAAUUACAUUUUGACUUCUUUUAUCAAUCAGAGCUAUCGAAUUUAAAGAUGUCAGAUAAGUUUGACUAUCGAUAGAUCACUAUCGAUAUAUGGAAUCUUGUCUUCAUUAUUUAUCAUUUUACUUUUCAACUACCCAAUCUCAUAUCUAGUUGGCCUUUUGGAGACCUCAUCACUAUUUUAUCUUUUUACUAGAAAUUAUUUUUUAAACUAAUAUGAGACUAAUUAUGACUUUACCAAUAUAUGCAAAGGAAAUAAUAUUUUUUAGAUUAUUUUAUCUUUUUACUAGAAAAUUACUUUUCAACUAACCAACUAAUAUGAGACUAAUUAUGACUUUACCAAUAUAUGCAAAGGAAAUAAUAUUUUUUAGACUAUUUUAUCUUUUUACUAGAAAAUUACUUUUCAAGUAACCAACUAAUAUGAGACUAACUACGACUUUACUGAUAUAUGCAAAGGAAAUAAUAUUUUUGAGAUCUCAUCACUAUUUUAUCUUUUUACUAGAAAAUUACUUUUCAAGUAACCAACUAAUACGAGACUAACUAACUGUGACUUUACCAAUAAAUGCAAAAGAAAUAAUAUAUUUUUAACCAAGAAAGGACAAACAAAGUGUAGUUAUCAUAUGGCGAAGGUUUAAAGAUCCAGUAGCAUCAGAGGAAUAUGAUUAGUGUCAAUUGGUCCUCUCACAUUUACAGACUAUUUUAGCUGGCAAAACUAGUAUCUUGUUUUCUCUCUUUUUAUUCAAUGUAGUAUCUAAUCCCAUGAUCUAAAGCGAUUAAAUUUAAACUACUUUGCUGGGAAAACUAGUUUUAAGACCCCUUGGGAUCGAUGUUGACACGACAAUAAGGUUGCAAGUAUCUAACGUACAGAUCUUAAAUCCUAAUAUAAAGCUUUUCGACCAAGUUUGCCGUUCUGGAGUUUGCUAGGCCAACGUUUGUGCGUGGUAGAACUUGAACCGUACGUGGAUGCGUACAAACCAAGUCCAUCUUAGUUGGUUUCUUUGGCUUCUUUAGGAGAUCUACGUGAAAAGGUGAGACACUGAGGAGUAGAGGUGGGAUACCAGGUUGGUUAUGCGUGAAGGUGUCCCAAAUGCUCGGUCCUCUCCCUCCUUCGUUCCAUGCUCCUUCCACCUACACCAUCAACUCAUCAGGGCUGUAAACGAGAGAGAAGAGACGAAGAGGAAAGGAAUGGGAGACGAACGAACAAACCUGGUAGGCAGCAGAGGCAGCGCCGAAGACGAAGCCCCGAGGGAAGCUGCUCCUUCCCAGUGAAACCUUGGCCGGAACAGCGGUGGGGAUCGUCUCCAGCUUCUCCCCCAGAGCAGUGCCAUCCACAGCAGCACGCGGUGGCCUCUUCCUGCUUUGGCGAGGUAGAUGUUGCUUAGCUACUGCAGGAGCUGUACUUCUUAACCUGACGGAUUCAGCGAUGGUGGCGUGGUAGCAGGAGCUCAGCGGAAGGCCUAGCAGCGCCAUGAUCUGUAUGCGUUCUUGACGAGCAAAAGGCGACCUUUAGUCCCUCCACACCCCCACCCACCUCCACAACCCACCCACCCCCACCCAACCGAGGGUAAUCUGGUUAAUUACAGAUUACCCCCUUAGCCGAUUAUUUUUAACAUUUCGAUCCUAAUACUUUUAAAAAUUAUAUUAUAAUUUUUAUAUUUAUAAAAAUAAAAUAUUUAAUCUUAUUUCUCGUAUCGUUGAUUUUAUUGACGAAAAUAUAUUAUAUACGUUACUAGAAAAUGAUACAAACAAAGAUAAAAGGAUAAUUUCAUAAUACUAUUUUUAUCGAUAUUUAAUUUUUUCAUCUAUAACUUCUAUGAAAUAAAUAAUCAAGAAAUUAAUAAUUAUGCAGUAGUCGACGGAUGAGGAUGAGACAGGAUCACAAGAAAGAGAUGAAUAUUUUACUUUUCAAUAAAACCUUCAAAGAUAUAAAGAGAAAGUGGAGCAAUUGAAUAACACUGAUAUAUAUUGGACUUGUGACGACCUAGUGGACCUAAAAGUGACUUGAGCUUGAUGAGCAAAAAGUUAACUUUAUCCCUCACCCCCACACCCUUGGAGGAUAAUCUGAUUAAUUACAUAUUACCCCCUUAGUCGAUUAUUUUUAACAUUUCGAUCCUAAUACUUUUAAAAAUUAUAUUAUAAUUUUUAUAUUUAUAAAAAAAAAUAUAUUUAAUCUUAUUUCUCCUCGUACCGAAGAUUUUAUUGACGAAAAUAUAUUAUAUACAUUACUAUAAAAUGAUACAAACAAAGAUAAAAGGAUAAUCUCAUAAUACUAUUUUCAUCAAUAUUAAUUUUUUCAUCAAUAAGUUUUAUGAAAGUAACAAUCAAGAAAUUAAUAAUUAUGCAAGAUCACAAGAAAGAGAUGAAUAUUUUUACUUUUCAAUACAAUCGAUAUAAAGAGAAAGUGGAGUAAUUGAAUAACACAUAUAUAUAUUGGACUUGUGACGACCUAGUGGACCCAAAAGUGACCUGAGCUUGAUGAGCAAAAAGUUAAUUUUAUCCCUCACCCUCACACCUCUGGGGGUAAUCUGAUGAAUUACAGAUUACUCCCUUAACCGAUUAUUUUUAAUAUUUUGAUCCUAAUACUUUUAAAAAUUAUAUUAUAAUUUUUAUAUUUAUAAAAAAAUAUUUAAUCUUAUUUCUUCUAAUACCGUCGAUUCUAAUGAUGAAAAUAUUAUAUAUGUUAUUAUAAAAUGAUACAAACAAAAAUACAAGGAUAAUUUCAUAAUACUAUUUUUAUCGAUAUUAAUUUUUUCAUCCAUAAGUUCUAUGAAAGUAACAAUCAAGAAAUUAAUAAUUCUACGAUAGUAGGAUGAGACUAGAUCACAUGAGAAAUGAAUGUUUCACUUUUCAACAAAACCUCCGAGAAAGUGGAGCAAUUGAAUAGCAUAGCUAUAUAAUUUUUUUUCCCAACAAAAUCUCUUUUAUUUUUUUCUUUAGACGAUAAAAAUAGUUUUAUAAUAUUAUUUUUUAAUCUUAUUUUAAUAUCAUUUAUCAUAUGUGAUAAUACGCAUGGUACUUUCAUCGAUAAAAUUGACAUAUAAGAAAAAACAAAAUAAAAUAUUUUAUUUUUAUAAAUAUAAAAUUUUAAUAUAAUUAUUAAAAAUAUAAAAAUCGAGAUGUAGAAGAUAGACAAUUAUAAAAAUAAUGUAUAAUUAGCUGUCUUUCUUAGUUUAUAUAGGAAUGACCUAAGAGUAGCUGUGACUGUAAUCAUGGUGGGAAUGAAGCUAAUAUGACGUUAUUUCCUGCAUACAUGAAGGCUUGCAACGCGUCGCCAUGGAUGUGGAUGACUUCAAUUCUUCACUGCGAACACUGCUUGCAAUUCGUGACAGUCUUCAUUGCAGAUCUCUUGAGAUAAUUACAUCCAUCGCGAUCUGUGCAGUCUUCUGAGAUGAGUUCAUGAAUCCAAGGACAUCGAACUAAUCGAGUUUUCUCGGGGUAAAAGAAAGCGGCGGACCAACGUGAAACGCGUAGAGCAAAACACGGUCGGCCACAGUAGGUCCUCCGUGACUCCGUUUUGUUCUCUUAUCCUUGUCUUCCUUUCCGUCGAUAAGUUCAUCGCCGUAAGUGCACCUCACGCACUUUUCUGCUGCACACCCCCAGCCCAACACGAGUUGUUUUAGCUGGGGAAUUUUGUCGAACACUUGCUGGGCAUUCAUUGUUGCCAUAGGAAGAACAAGAGACGGACACUGGGCAAGCUUACUGUAUAUCAGAUUUGGAUUAGAACAUGUGAUGUCUGAAGAGACAUGCGAUCAAGAACAAGAGAGCGUACCGUCAAGAGUGCCUUGAGCUGCUCAAUCGAUCCCGACCUUUGAAGAGGGAGGACGGGGACAAGGAACCUCACUUCACGACAGAGAGGAUAUCAAGAGGAAGCACUACUGGUCACCGACCACAGAGACGAGGAAUUCAAGUGCCGGCGGAUAUGAUUCCGAUGCACGUCAUAAUUGCAGCCAGCGAGAUACGACGCAGCAGCCCAAUUCCAUUCGAUCAAAUUAAUUUUGACUAAUUUUGAUCGAGAUUUGAAGACGAUUUAGGAUAUAAUAUAUCGAUUCCAAUAUCACUUAUACCCAUCUCGAAUCCCCUCCUGUCUCUUACGAUUCAAACUCUAAAAACUACUCAUGGUUAGAUUUUUUUUGUAAAAAUUAGUCAAAAAAUAUUUUUUUUUUUCAUAUAUAAUUGACUUCGUCUACAGUCAUUGAAGCCCACGUGACAAAUCUCCGUGCGAUGCAAAAAAAUAGUAUAUAUAUAUAUAUAUAUAUAUAUAUAUAUAUAUAUAUAUAUAUAUAUAUAUAUAUAUAUACCUGGAUAAAUUUACACAAGACAAGGAUGGUGAACCGAAGAACAAAGCAACAUAAGAGUUGGAGGAGCAACCAAGCGAACUACUCGGCUAAAGCUGCUGUUCUAGUUUGAAUCCCCUGGAUACAGUACCGGUUGUUUGUGCUUCUUCACCAAGUGGGACACAACUCUAGCUGAGACCACCUUCUUCACCAGCAUCCCCCACUUGUCAUCGCCAUCCGCUUCUUCGCCUUCCCUACGCUGCACCCUCCGCUUGAAUUGCCUGUGGAUUCACCAAGAAACAAAGACGAGUGAGCUGGGUUAUGUUCUUCCAUUAAUUUCUCAGCGGCACCAGUUGCACAAGUACAUGCAGAGGGGAACUUCGCAGGAGGCGUCAUCGAGCUCGGUGCAGGUGGAAGCGUGGAGGCGGAGGAGCUGCCAGAGACACUUGCACCGACGGCACCAGCGCCUCUUCUCGCUGUCGCAGGCCGCCAAGUGGCGGACAAGCUGCCGUAGGCCGCGGCAGGUGACGGGGUUGGGGCAGCGGGCCCGCUUCUCCUCCCUGCCGGAGUGCCCCAUCGCCGCGUAUCCAUCCUUGAAGAUGUGGUGCAAGCACUCGAUGGUCUCGUGCAGCUCCAUGUACAGCCUCCGCUCCGCCUUCCUCCUCCCCAGCCGUCGCCGUCUCUGCAGUCACACCACCGAAGCCGGCAACAAACCCAUCAAUCUCUCCCUCUCUCUCUCGCUCUCUCUCAGCUACCGCAUCAUGCCCGGCAAGCGACAUGCGACGUACGCACCAGGUGGGCGUCCUCGAGGAACUGGAGGAUGUCGAGCUCCAGCCAGGGGUCGUGGUCCCGGAGGAACCGCCAGGCCUCGGUCUGCUCCACCGCCGCAAAGUCCUCGGCAAGCAGCUGCAUGCACCGCAGGUGAAGGCGGGGGGCGUCGCACUGCUGCGCCAGCACCAGCACGUCCACCACGCCCUCGGCGGUCAGCCGCGACGACAGCACCCGCUCGCACGCGCGCUUCAGCCACCCGACCCCGUACGCGUGCGACAGCACCAUCAGGUGCAUCCCGUGCUCCCCGACGAUCUCCUCCUCCGCAAGCGUCACGCACCUGCCGUGAAUCACAACCGUCCAUCAAAAUUACUCCUUAAAAUAAUUUAAAGAUAAUUAUAUGUCCAAUCUAUUAAAAAAACAGCUCGAUGAGACACGUCACACGUGUUCGGAGGAGAGAUCGCUUGCAUGAGACGUCCGUCAUGCAUAAGUGUUAGCUGCAAUUCGAGAGCAUUUUCUCGAAUAAAAAGUGUAAGACAUCAGGAGAACGCAUCAAAAAACAAAAAAAGCUUGUCCGCGAAUAAGCUCUUAGUGAUGUCACCUACACAACUCCUGUGCUGUGUAUACAGUGUCCUAGACAUUAAGAAGAGCAUUGGAGAGACGCAAGGGAGAUCGGUGUACUACAAAUUGUGUGAAGAUUGGACGAAAAGAAGAUACGAGACCUGGCGGAGUAGAGCAAACGGAGGAAAGCAUGAACAGCAUCGCAGGGAACGCCAAGAACGGGGAUCUCCAUUUCUCGGUUACUGCCACCUUUGCGUGGUCGGUGCAGCAUGCUCUCCAGCACGGGAGAUGCCGAAGCCUGCGCCCGAAGAAAGAAAGCGAGCAAUGAAUAGAAGAUCAUAGACAAGUGCAUGUAUAGGUGGUGGUGUUUCGUUUAUCACCAGAACGGUGGAAUGAGCCGGGAGUCGCCGUUGGCCGGACGUCACGAUCCGGGCAUCGGUCGGCGGCGUGUCAUCGUUCCCGGCCUCAAGCCACCGCCGGAACCCCGUCGGCGAGACAAGCGUCUCGCCGUGCUGCUGCUCUUCCUCCUCCAUGAUCCCAUGCCAGUGGUAAGCGGUGGUGGCGGCGUGCAUGUAUAAGGAGGCUGGCAGUGGGGGACGAAGGGGAUAAGAAUAAACGAUGAAAUGGCGAACAUAGCCCCAUAGUCUGCGACUCCAAACUCCGCUUGUCCGGCCUCACUGGCUUUUCAAGUGGGGCCCGCAACAACUGUUGAAGAGGUGCAAAAUUGACGGUCACCAAUUAUUAAGCCUACAACAAAAGAAGAAAAAAAAGAAUUUGUUCGUCGGAUCAGACAACACGAGAUCAUCAUACUGAUCAAUUGGAAACUAAUCCAAACUAAUUUCAAUAAACAAAAAAAAAGAAAAAAAUAAUCUGAAUCAGUAAGCACUCACUGUCCUGGAUAUUAUGAACUUCACGGAGAUUUAAUUCUGCUUUCAUUUUAUCGUGUAUAUUUUUUUCUCCAAAUGAAGUGUGAUUCUACAGCUUUUAGAAACUUUGGGUGUCGCUUUGAGUUGGUAUAUUUUUCCCAAAAGUAUUUUUGAAAGCAAAAAAGUAAUGUAACUUCUAUGAAAAUUCUGAAAGCAGUUUACCUGAAACCUGCUCGCCACUGCAGUAGCUGAAUUCUUCAUCGAAGCUUCAGUGAGACGUUCCAUCCUGCAGAUAAGAAACGAUGAACAGUAAACAUCGGACAGAGAAGGAAAAAAGAAAAGCUUUCUUGAAGUUAAUUCAUCAGAAUAUUUAUGAAGAAACUAAAGUCGAACUUCACAGAGUUUGACAAACCGCUCUUCGUAGGUUGUGCGAGUUUUCAGGUCAAGUUGUCUUGCUAAGAAAACAGAGGAAGAAAUCCUGCUUUCUCUUGGCCGAGGAAAAGUAUAAUCCAAGAACCUACCCUGCACUCAUCAAUCUACUACCAGUAUAUUAGGGAGAGGAUGACCAAAUAAAGAUACUCGAGUACCUGCAGCUUGUUCCGGAGCUAUUUGUCUAAUGACAUCCAUCAUCACAGAUUUCUCACAUCAGACAUUUCUAUGAUAUCUCAAGCAGGCAUCUAAAGUUUCCUACUUUUAGACACCGAGAACAUGUUUGAGUGAAGCAAUAGGCAAUCCUUCAAUCUACAAAAAAAAUAUAGUCAGCAAACUCAAACGUAGAAGUAUCCUGUAGAAACACUUGAAUAAAGAGCUUUAACUAUCCAUCAACCAAACAACAUAUCUCAUGAAGCAAAUGUUCUCUGACACACUACUAUCAAAAAAUUAAGACGAAAACAGCAACACGUAUAUAUCCCGACUGAUAAGUUCAGUGCACGAUCAAGCCCUAACCUGACGGCCAUCGUUUCUUCUUCAUCGUCGGUACUCCCAUCUCUCAACUCUUCAUCAUUGGAAAUCCACUGCUCUCUUAGUCUCUCAGCUCUUCAUCAUCGGAAAUCCACAGUCCUCUCAGUCACUCUCCGCUGCCAAAGACAUCAUGAUAUACCUCUCCUUUGUUUCAUUUUAAAUAGUUGACCUAUAGUCAAUAGUUGAUCUUCCAAGCACAUUACGUCUCGAGCAUUUUAAAAUAGCAAAGCAUCUAGCAAUUCGGGCUUUUCAAAACCGUCUUUUAACGUCUAGCACUUUUGACUACACUGCCACCUAAAAUCGACCCAAAUCCACCAUCAAUAAAACAGUCAAUCUAGUUCCACACACAAGUAUAGCUGUAAAUAAGACCACCAAAUAUGCACUAUCAACAAAACAAAUGGUUCAAAACCAAAUAAUUCCUCAAUAAAGAAGUUCACGCUUAUGAUUAACAGAAGAUUUAAAGGUAAAGGAUGUUGGUCAUAAGAGAAAUUUAUGAUCAUCACCAAAGAAUAUUACCGGUCAACUAUCAAGCACAAUCAAGCAAACAAGAAAGCUCCAUGGAAGUUUCAAUGACUAGGAUGAUUUGCUAAAGAUUUAAUAUCACUGAUACAUCAAGGAUAUUCAGCAAGGUGCAAAAAGAUAACAAAAUCAAGAAUUCACUUAACACCAUAAUAGGGGAAGGAAGCACUCGAGUUUUUCCUUUGGUGAAGAGAAGAAUCCAUUAGCCGGGGAUUGAAGAUCUCAAUCAGGCUGGUGACCGAGGCUGAGGGAAAAGUGAAGGACCUUUUUCUCUCACAGCUAGUUCGUCCUUCACUGAAAAAGACUCAGUAAGAUAUGACACUUUUUCCUCUGCAAAGCUGGUCCUAUUAGGUCGAGUAUUGAAUGUAAGUAAACACGGAUUGCAGGAAGAGAAUCAAUACAACUUCUUUACACCUUAGGGUUCUACCCAUGUCCACAAGGCAUAUCACUCCAGCUAAGGCGUCAAAAAUGGAAGAUUGGAACCAAUCUUGCGAUAGAAUUAACCCUGUCGAAGAAAGGGUGACCAAAGAUUCAACCCAACGGAACUACGAUCCUAGAAAACCCUAACCUUUGAACAAAAAACAGAUCUCUGACAGCAAUACAAUCUAAAUUGAUCCCACAAUAUGCUAACAAGAACACAAGAUGAAUAUAUAGAGGAAAAUCGAAAAUGAAUUACAGCAGCACAAUCGAAUCGAAAUUAGAAAUUUAACCAGAUUAGUUUAUGCACUUUGUCUUAAGCAAUUCCCCUACCAGAUUCGCCGGGGACGAAUCAGAAAAAACCUAAUCCUCGAUCUGCCCACCAUACGACCCAAAGAAAAGGAGGACAAUGACGACAUCGAAACAAGAAAAGAAUUGGAAGGAAAAGUACCUGAACGACGAGCGAGACAACCGCAGACAAGAAGCGAGUGUCGAUCGGAUGGCACGUGCAGUUCUUGAAAUGCCAUUGUUCUCGGGAAGGAGGCGACAGAUUUGUCGUCGAAGUAUGCGCCAGAUUUGUCGUCGAAGUAUCAGAUCAAGGAGGAAAGGAUAAAAAUAAGCCGGUCAAGAUUCAGAAUCGGUUCGAUCGUCAAACCGGACCAUUAAAAAUGUGAUUUGAGAUUUACUUAAAUACUAAUUAAUACCGUGCUUUGUAUCCGUUAUCAGAUGAGAUCGUAACAGUUAAAACCGGUAUAUUUGCCGAUACGAUUCCAGGGGAAUUCCUAACGGCUAACAUUUCGGACUAUAAAGCCGCUACGAUUCCUUGCGUGGAGGUUCAACCCAAAGGCAGCGGAAGACAUGGCGACUGUGGAUCCGAUCGCCCUCGACCUCGUCGACUUCCUCAACGCUUCGCCAACUAAUUUCCACGCCGUCGGUAAUCCAGCCUCACCGCCCGAUCUCUCGCUUUGAUCUUCAAAGAUCUGGAUUCGUUUUCUUGUAUUGAUCGGGGGGAGAUUUUUGUACUUGUAGAUGAGGCGAAGAAGCGCUUGAAACAAGCUGGCUUCGCUCAUCUAUCGGAGAGAGAGGACUGGGUGUUGGAAUCCGGGGGGAAGUACUUCUUCACGAGGAAUCACUCCACCAUCAUCGCCUUCGCCAUCGGAAAGAAGUGAGUAGGGUUAAUACUUUCCUCUAUGGCUUCCUUACCUGGAUGCAAAGUCUCUCUUGAUAGCUCUAUCUGGUGGUAUAUUAUAUGCAUUUUGGUUCAACAGAUAUGUUGCUGGGAAUGGAUUCCACAUUGUUGGAGCUCAUACAGACAGCCCGUGCCUCAAAGUCAAGCCUGUCUCCAAGGUAAGCAUUCAUCUUGGUUAUAUACAUAUCCUUGAAGUUGUUCUUCUUACUGUGGAUCAAUUUCCUGUUUUUGAUUAUUGGGCUGGUUGAUCAGAAAAAUGUAGUAGUUAAAAAGAGUGGAUCCAGAAGUUGAUUCUUUAUCCAAUCGUGUCUAUGAUUAGCACCACUGAUGAAAGUGAAAGAGUUUGGUUUGUGACUAAUUUAAUGUGAAAUAGCUUUCAGGAAAUGCAAGUGAGGUUAUUGAUAUUUUUAUUGUACUUGAUCAUUGUGUAACAUAUUUGCUUAGGUAACAAAAGGAGGAUAUCUUGAGGUAGGUGUGCAGACAUAUGGAGGAGGACUUUGGCACACUUGGUUUGAUCGCGACUUAACCCUCGCCGGAAGAGUGAUAAAGAAGGAAGUGAAGGAGCAUUCAGUAACCUACUCACAUACCCUUGUCAGGAUCGAGGAGCCCAUCCUUCGGAUUCCUACCCUAGCUAUUCACUUGGACAGGUUAGUGUUACAGUUAACAUCAGAUAUUAAAUUGGUAUUUUACGUGUUCUUAGUAGCUAUGAACUGGACACUAUGGUUACUUGUGAAGUUUUACAUGAGUUACUCGCUUGUACAUUGUCGGAUUUGGACUUUGACUAUUUGAUGGCAUGCUUGUUUCUGUAAUUCUUUCUGAUCAUUUGUUCACUAAUUAAGUGUUAGAUUAAAGGGUUAAUGACAGCUUAGAAGAAAAAUUAGAUCGGCGGUAUGGAAUUUGUUGAGGUUAAUACCUUAUGAUAUGCUUGUUUUUAUUUUUGCUAACAGGAGCGUUACGGAAGGCUUCAAGUUUAACACACAUAGUCAUCUUGUACCUGUGUUGGCUACAUCAAUUAAGGUGAUUUAAUUUGCUAAAUUUGACUUUUUGUGAACUUGAUCUUGAUUUUCUUCAUUUGCCUACUAUACAUAUGCUCUAACACUAAUCAAACUUGUUUGAAGUAACUGUUGGGCUUUUCUCCUUGUUGUCACUAUUUUAACAUCGUUUGAACAAAGAUUAUUUUGAUUGAUGAAUAUAGGUUACUGUAUCUUUGCCAUUUUGCUUGCAAACACAAAAUUCCUCCAGGACACUAGGACCAUCAUGUCCUUUCUCCCUCGCGGAAUGUCUGUUUUAUUACCUCAGCUGACCUUACUGGUCAUUCAAUUAUCUGUUCCAGUCUAUCUCAAGACUCAAAAAUGAUUUGUAUUUGAUCAAGAACUUCCUAGAAUAAUAUUUUAUUUGCUCAAACAUGUUCAAGAUGCUGUUUGCUUCAAUCUUUUCUGAUUGAAGAAUGGCAGCUAACUAUUGUCAACUAUAUAUGUGCAGGGUGAGCUCCAGAAGCUUGUUGAUCAUAAUAGCUCAUCUGAGUCGAAUGAGAAAACAAAUGCUGAUAACAAAAAACAUCAUCCAGUACUACUGCAGGUAAAAGAAUGUUCUAAACAUGCCUGUUUCUCUAACUGCGUAUAUUCAUAACCUAUGUUAAAAAUACCUAAAGAGGACUGAUGCAUGCAAAAUUGAAUGUUGGAAGCUGACACAAUGGUUGGUUGGUUUUCACAGCUGAUCGCUGACCACGCUCAUUGCCAUCCAGAUGAAAUAUGCGACUUCGAGCUGCAAGUUUGUGAUACUCAACCAAGUGUCGUUGGUGGUGCAAUGAAGGAAUUCAUUUUCUCUGGAAGACUUGACAACCUAUGCAUGUCAUUUUGUGCACUAAAGGUCAGUUGUGGUGUUACCCAUCGUUUGUGUGCAGCAGUGUUUCACACCACAAAAGGUGCACAUGAUUAUUUCGAUUUAUUGCUGGGUUUUUACCUACAACGUCUGUAACUGAUUGAUACCGGAAACAGAACUAGAAUUCUGUGUAUGAUUGUGCAAGGUUGCUCCCUGAUUUCAGGCAUUAAUAGACUCCACCUCUGUUGAAAGUUCUCUUGGUGAUGAAACUGGCGUAAGGAUGGUGGCAUUAUUUGAUCACGAGGAGGUCGGAUCAGAUUCAGCUCAGGGUGCUGGAUCUCCCGCCAUGUUGGAUGCUCUAUCAAGAAUAACAAAAUACUUUAAUUCUUCAGAUCCCACGGUACCAUUUUCACAUUCUACUCAUAUUUUCUGUUGCUUUUUCUGCUUUUGCAGACAUAUUCACAUAUGUUGUAUUGCUUGUGCAUUACUAAAAAUUCUAAACGUGAAUUCGUUUGACCACAGUCUACCUAAUUGUUGUCGGCAUUUUCUGAUAGAUUAAACUAUUUUUUUUAUUCAUCCAAAAAAUUUUCAGUUGCUCGAGAAGUCAAUCCAUAGGAGUUUUCUCGUAUCGGCAGACAUGGCACAUGCUUUACAUCCUAAUUUUAUGGUAUGUUCCUUUUAACUGAUUUAUAUGUACACUCGGCUGCCUGCCGUAAGGCCUGAAUGGUUUGCGAUAAAUACAAUGUCAGUAUGCUGUCAAGUUACCGACAGCAGUAGAAAAUGUAAACGGCACUGAUGGCUUCUUUUUACAUGCUCUCCUGCCAGGACAAGCACGAGGAAAAUCAUCAACCAAAACUACAUGGUGGUCUUGUAAUUAAACACAAUGCCAAUCAGCGUUAUGCAACAAAUGCUGUUACUGCAUUCAUAUUUCGAGAAAUUGCGGAGAUGCAUAACUUACCAAUUCAGGUGAGUUGACUCUCAAACUGGCAUAUUUUUGUAUUAAUAGUGAUUACUUGUACAUUUGGCCAAGCUAUUUACAGACUUUUUAUUCAAUGCAGUUAAGAUAUAAUCUUUGUGCAAAAGAUAAUCUCUGUGCUUAUUCAAAUGCCUUUAAAAUUAAAACUAGUGCAUGUAUAAUGAUCGAUCCUGAUCCUGAUAGCUGCAUAUAUAAGUAUGUGGAAUAUGCCAGAUGCCAAAUGCGAAAUUGAUCUAUUUAAUGGCAUUUUUGAUAAGUUGGAUUUUAAUGUGCAAGAAGUAAAUAUAAAUUUUACUCCACAAGUUUCUAACCACCACUUUGAUUAACCUACUAAUUAAUAAGUAAUAAGAGGCUGGGUCCAUUUUCAUCAUUUCAUGCAAAACUUAAAUGUUUGAUGUGCUUGUUCAGGCUAAUGUUAGAUCCACCUUGGUUAACUAUUAGGCUAUGGCAUGAUGAACUACAAACUGGCAGUUGAUAUUCAUGAAUACAGAAGAAAUUCUAGUAAACUUUUCUCUUUUUUUUUUCAGCAUAGUUAUAUGACUCCAUGAUUUAGAUGUUACCACUUAGUUCUACCAUUCUUAUGACUCCAGGAUUUUGUGGUUCGGAACGACAUACCAUGUGGUUCAUCCAUCGGUCCCAUACUUGCAAGCGGUGUCGGAAUCCGAACAGUUGAUGUUGGCGCUCCUCAGUUGUCGAUGCACAGCAUCAGAGAGAUGUGUGCAGUCGAUGAUGCCAAGCACUCUUAUGAGCAUCUCAAGGCAUACUUCGACGAGUUCACAGAGCUGGAUAACAAGUUGAUCGUGGACUGCUAAUCGAUUUAAAGGAUGAUGCAACAGAUGAUGCCAAGUUCGGUGGUUACCUUUUCCUAAACUAAUUAUGUCGGCAUGACAUUCUGGGAACGAUUAACUCAAUGGGUUUUGUCUCAAAAACUAUCAGCUGUCACAUUGAACUCCUAUUUGAACAUCUAGAUGUCAAGAGUAUCUCGUUACUACCCACCCUAACCUAUGGUAAGGUUCUCUCUUUUGAUCUGUUGGAACCAAAUACUUGAUGUGCAGGGCAUGUGGGGAGGAAGUAUGUAUACACUGGUGUUGGUGCUUUGAACCUUCUGCCAGUACUACAAAGAUCCUUCACCAGCAAGUCCACAUCGAGAAAUAAAUACACAUUUAGAGCAACCCUACAAUUCUCGUCUAGGUUUCCACAGCAUCAAACGACACAACAUGAACCCUUCAAGUGUUCCUCUUUUGUUUGACUUAUCAUUUCUACUUCAAGUUUUCCUAGUUCGAUAUCAAGAAACUAUAAAGAACAAUAGGUUUUCGGUAACCAAAUCAAGAUUCCCCAUUCAGAACUACAUGUAAAAAGUUAUAAGAAGGGUUUCAUUGCAUCGAUACAACUGUAAAGAUCACAGACGCAAAGCGAAAGAAGCACUUGGUCAAGAUUCCUAUUCAUAACUACAUGUAAAAAGUUACAAGAAGGGUUUCAUUGCCUCAAUACAACUGUGAAGAUCACAGACACAAAGCAAACGAAGCAUGCGAAAAGAAAUUCCAAUCAUCUUUGUCUAGGAGACUAGUUCGACUACUGACAAACGGCAAUCAUCGAAAAACUUGUCUAUAGAAGUGCAAGACUUGUUUAUAAAAGUGCAAAUUUAUUUGGCUUAUGGAUGCGUACCUCAUCUGAUCGUAUUUAGAUUGAGAAAACGCAUCCAAUUUCCUGUCACAAAUGUUAAUCAGAUUAUAGCCCUACAGACAUCCAAUAAAUUUGAUAUUGAUUAACAUAACUACGACAACUGUUCACAAACAAUUUUCGAUCACAUAGCAGGUUAAAGAGGAAGAUUUUUCUUCAGACAAACUUCCACACAAGGCAGCAAUUUUGAAAAUUCUUGAAUCUCUCUAUCCCCAAAAAAAUGGGGUCAAUGCUAGAGGGUCCGUGUUUCCAAUAAAUGGUACAAUAAAAUAUUUUUCUUCACUCGGGAAAACCUUAUUUCAGACUAAACUUGUACUAACACCAUGAAGCACAAAAAAGCUGAUGCAAACAUUUCAGUGAAUAUUAAGAGUUAUGGGUAGUUUGAAGCUGUGACUGAUAGAUGUGCGUCAUGAUUGACAAGGAAAAAACUGACUGAUUAUUCGUGACAUCAAGUUGCAACGAGCCACCGAAAGGUUUGCACUCAUGAAAGAGACUUCUGAAUCUCAGAAGUAACUUCUUUGGGAGGUUUCUCAGCAUGAAGCUGAGACACAACUCCCUUUUUGUUGUAGUAAUCAAUGACCUGAAAUAAACAACAAUAGCACACAUAUAAUUCCACAUAUUAAUACUAAAAUAACAACCAAGAAGUUUGAUGUACUUAUCUAUGUCAUAAAUGAAUCAAUGAAAUCAUAUGUCAUAAUUAGAACCAUCAAAAUUAUUAUUGCCAAUAAUCCCAGAUUGACUACACAUACACAUGCAAAUAGUCAUAUAUCGGACGGCGGUAAGAAUACAAGUACCCGAUGACUUCAGUCAAGAAAUACCAAGUAAAAAUUUAUAUGCUGCUUACAAAAAGUAUCAUCCAUUGUGCAACAGAUAAAACAGUUAUCAGCAAAAAUAAUCAAGAAGAUAAUAAGAAGGAAAAUCAACUUACGGGUUCAGUUUGUCUGUGGAAAGCUUCAAGCCUUGACUUGAGGACUUCAGCUGUGUCAUCUUUCCUCUGAAUCAAAGGUUCUCCUGACACCUUCAGAGCAUAAUUUUGAAAUAACAAAAGAAACAUAAGAACUAAUUCUCUAGGACCAACCAAAUUAGAAAAAGAGUAAAUCACAUCAUGUCUCUUCUCCCAAAUCUCAUCAAAACUAAAAGAUGAUAUCUAGUAAAUAUCAAAUGCAUUAAUGUGCUUUGAAAUGGAUACACAAGGACACAAAAGCUCACAAAGAGAUUAGAUGUACAACACAGGUGAUUAACUACUGAGGCAAUUUCAAGAAUCUUGCAAGGCUAAAAAUUUCUACGAUCAGCUUGAAGGCUAAUUUGCAAGAAUCAUAAAAUAUUAAACACAAACAUGAUUAUGAAAAAUAAGAAAAUUACACAUACCAAAUUAACACAUAUAUGUUCAAUAGAAUAUCUGUCUGCAAAAAGAUUAUCAAUCUAGAAUCUAAAAGGUCAAAAUAAUUCUUUUAACAAAGGGUGUCAUGGGAUUCCUACAAGGCAUGUAAAGGUGUGCAUAGGAAAGACCACCAAAAGGAGGGUGCAAAUGGCCCACCCCCUCCCUCUUCCUCCCUUUUCUAUUACCUCCCUCUUCAUUCUCCAAAUUUGUGACUGAAGCUCAGAUUGACCAACCCCAUUCAUACGAAUAAAAUCAUGAAUGGUCAAUCCGGUGAACCCAUGAUCUCUUCACUACACUGCAGUACAGAAUAAGGAUCCUCAAGAAGCACAGUUUAGGCAAGAUCAUAAUGACAUUCCGCAAGCUAUGUGCAAACUGGCAGCACACUCUAUAUGUAUGUUCAAGCUCUAUGCAAUCCAGAAGCAGAAGUCAUUAUACCUUAACCACAUACCUACUGUCAUUUUGCAUUAACCCAACUUUUGCUCGAAGAUAAGCAAGAAGGCUCUAACGCAAAAUUCUCCAAUCCAACCAACCCACAACUAGUUUUUUGCAAGUAGGAAAUGCAAAUGCAAUAAAAGAAAUGUCCAACAGUAGCAACACAACAUACAUGGACCUGUGACAAAAACAUUUUACAUAACAUAUACAGAACAUGCUUUAGUAAAACAAUAAACUUAUUCCAUCUGCUUACAUCAUCGAUGCCAGGAACCUUUGGAGGAGCAUAUUUCGUAUGGUAAGUCCUACCACUAGGUGGAUGAAUCCAACGACCAGUAAUUCUCUCCUCCAGUAUGGCAUCAUCAAUCGCAAAGUUUAGCACCUUGUCAAUCUUAGUACCUUGCUUGGUCAGCAUCUCAUCAAGCUGCAUUUGGAAUCAGGUGAUGAAGGGGCAAAGUAGGUAAAAGCUCUGAAAACAAAGGACUUGUAUUUAACUCAUCAAACAAUGAAUCUAGCAUUGGAGUGAAGAGCAAAAAGCAUAGAAAACUUGCCUUCUCAGCUUGAACAACUGUCCUUGGAAACCCAUCAAGAAUGAAACCCUUUUGGCAUGAUGGUUUUUUGAUAGCCUCAUCAAUAAUUCCAACAACCAAGUCAUCAGAAACAAGCUCCCCCUGGAAUACCAAGAGCCAAAGAAUUGAUCAGUAAUGAAAAUAACUUUUUUUGGUUCAAAUUUCAUUUAUUUUAAGAGGAAUACCUUAUCCAUAGCUUCUUUAGCCUUAACCCCAAGAGGGGUCUUAGCAGCCACAGCAGCUCUUAACAUGUCACCGGUGGCCAAGUGACACAAGCAAUAUUCAUCCUUAAUAAUAGGAGAUUGGGUACCCUUCCCAGAACCAGGUGGACCUGGAAUGUUAAAAACCCCAUGAAAGUUGAACAGACACUUAGCACUCUUUCUACCCAUGCAUAAGAAAGUGGAAAGCGUGACUUCACCACAUAUUAGCACCAUAAAAAGAAAAAAAAAACAGUUCCUAUUACCAAAUAUGCAAAUAGGAAAUCUGAAAAGAUAAUUUAGACAUAGAUGAAGAGAAGACAAUAGAUAAAUCCUCUAUAGUAAGGUCCAAUACGACUUUGCGAAAAAUAUACUUUAAUCAUGCACAGCAAAAGUGUUGAAAGUGAAGUCAUCAUAAUGAAAUUUUAAAAAAGAAACUAGCAGUUGUAUCAGAACAUCUGGCUUCUCUAACACUUCAAAUAACAAGAAAAAUAAGCUCAGACCAAAAACAUAGAGUAAGACGCACAAGAAGAAAUGAAGAAAACAAACAAUGCAUUGGAAACAAUGCCAAGCCAUUGCCCUUGGAUAUGCCACAUAACAAAAAGAAGAGGUUGCAUUUUUCUUUUUGUUGAUAAAUGAAUCAAUUUUUUUCAUUCAACUGUAUUUAUGAAAUAUGAUAUUUUUUUUAAAUUUUAGCCUAGGAUUUGGAAUAUAAGUUUCAGCUUCUUUAGUUUUGGCUUGAAGUUAUGACCAAGAACAAAAAUAUAGGAAAUGCAUGACCCCACAAUUAGUUCUGAUUGGGGUGGGGGGGGCGGGUUGGUGGAGGGGGAGGGGGAGGGAAUACUGUUAACUGUGUGUUGAGUAUUUUAGGCUGGAAAUUUUGACUAAGAAACAAAGGAUCAAGGAUACUAGAUUAAUAUCAAUUUCCCGAAUGGAAUAGUUCAUGUCACCUCUCAGACACAAACAACCAUAAAUAUCUAUGCACAUCUCUUUCAAAGAUUCAUACGAUAUAAUUUUAAAAUUAACAACACCCAACAGUAUAACAUUGAAGCAAAAUUAAUCAAAAAACUAUACAAGAGUUUUAUAUUUAUAUUUCUAAUAAAAAUAUAUUUACGAUAUUGCAACAACAUAAACUCUAAUGCUUGGUACAACAUAGGGCAUCCAUUGAAUAAAAAAUAAGUACUACAUUCCACCGCAAGCGGUUAUUAUUCACUUACUCGGUUUCAAACUUCAAUUACAAUUAACUUCCCAACGAGAGAACUAGAAAGAGAAUAAAUUGCAAAUGGAGAUAGUCAGUUUACGUAAAAAAUAUCUGAUUCCGGAAAUAAAUACCUUUUGACAUUCACAUGGUCAAUAAUCCUAUAUUUUCUGAAAAGAUGCAUCAUAUUAUCCGAUGUAUCACUUCCAUCUCUCAUUUCUUUGACCAUGUGCUCGACGAAGUGGGUGAUUGGGACCACUACUUUAAGAAAAGAAGAGGAAAAGAAUAGAUCAAAGCUUUUGGAGUUCCUAUAUCUCUCAUAACUCUUUGGUUUAAUAUUGGUCUUAAACAAAAUUUACAUGUCUCGACAAAACAAAACUUUUUCGAGAACAAUAUAAGAAUCUGUAAAUCAUUAUUUUUCGAGCAACCAUGAAUUUCGCCAUUGGUCCCAUCCAAUCCAUUGGUCAUAAUUUUGCCUCUCAUGUCUACAUGACAUCUAGGACUAGCCGCAUUCAUUCCUCCACAUAACAGUCAAACAAUUUCAGUUUCCUUGUUUCAGUGGCAAAGCAGACAUCCACACAACAUAUUCAUCCCAGAUGAAGCAGCAAUAACGACAAUGAACAUAAACACCGUUCGAAAUGUGCCUCAGAGCCCUCAGGAUGAAAUCAUCCCUUGUCCUAAGUAAUCAUUGCGCAUUUCGAAACCCCAUUUAGCUGUUGUCGGGAAGCUAACGGUUGAUUUCAUCAUUUCACACUUACAUUCUUCGACUUUUCUUAAACCAAUUCGUUGAACAUGUUCUUCCCGAUUUCUCGUAUCCACAAAAGGAGGGUAAACUUUGAUAAGCGAAGGCGCAUACACGCAGAGGGAGAAUGCAAUCUAACACAAAGAGGUUACGGAGGAAGGAACCGAUACCGAUGAGGAUAAGCCGCUUGUCGGGUUUCGAUGCACACUUCAUUCGGCGGAGGAGCUCGGUCAUCAGAUCCAGCGACGGCACGUCCUCCAGAUCGACACUCCCGCCGCUCGCCAUGUCCGCCAACCCCUUCGCCGCUCCUCCUCCCGACCGAUACAAUCCCGCUUCGGCGACGACGACGCGGCAAGAUCCAUCCGAGGCGCCCCUUUUAUCGACGACGUGGGAAAGGGAAAGGUCGAUUUCUCCGUCGAGGGUUUUGUGCCGUAUUCUAUCCCGACGGUCCAACGUAAAGUACCCUAUACCUUUCAUCAUAACCGUCCAUCAUAACAAAGAGAGAGGGUUAGUUCGAGAUGGACAGUUGUUCGGUAGGCACACUGCAACGCGGUCGGCUACCAACUUCAACACCUAACCAUAAAUUUAUUUAUUUAUUUAUUUAUUAUUGACAUUAAAUAAUUUCAUGUAAUUUUUUAAGCAGAGUUUAAACAGAAAAUUGCGAUUAGAUAAUUCAUAUAAAUAAGCAAUAUACCAAAUCAAGGCAUUUACCAAAAUUAGUACAUUUCAUAGAAUUUGAAGACAAAAUGUUGACCUCCACCUCAAAAAUUGCUUGCAUACAUAAAUCGAGCAUAGGAAGCAUCAAAAGGAUUCAUUAUAGUAAAAGAGUAUGAAAGGAUGGUUUAAGAACUCCAUAAAGUAGAAUGCCAAAAAAAAGGAGGGUAGGAACACAUGAAGAUGGUUUAUAUCUUAUGACUUUGGGGUCAUUUACAAAUAGAAGCUUCCAUUGGUCAUCAAGUCAACGGAUCCUUUCUGAGUAGAACCUUCCGUUGGUUGUUGAGUCGAUGGUCAUAUCUAAUGUGCAAAAUUAUGUCUGCAAAUGACAAAAAAAAUAUCCAUCGCACAUGAUCUUAUGUGCCAAUUUAUGCUUGAGAAAAUAAUUGUAAGAUAUGAACUAAGCUAAAUCUAGGAAAAUUGAAAUAUAUCAAUUUCAUAGUGAAUGGGUGUAAGAUUGUUUAUUAUAUAUAAUAUUAUAAUUAAAUUUGCUCAUAUAUAUAUAUAUAUAUAUAUAUAUAUAUAUAUAUAGCUUAUUGCGAGAGAAUGAGGAGGUCUUUAUAGUUAGUUUCUCCGCCUGAGACUUCUAUCGGCCAGUCAGAAGAUAGCUGCCUACCGCGAGACCACCACAAUCCCAUGGCGAUAGCAGUCCGCCCGACUACGCUCUCCGCCGCCGAUCUCGCCUAGAUGGCACAACGCCGCCUCGCCGUCCUCGCCUCCCACCUCACCCAAACCGGCCCUGCCCCUCUCUCGGCCCUCGGCCCGCCUCCGGGUGUCUCCACUUCCCGCUGCUCCGGUGGCGGAGGUGGAGGCGGAGGCGAGACGGAACGGGGCGGGGAGAAGGGGUGCGUCUUUUGUCGGAUCAUUCGCGGUGAAUCCCCGGCAUUCAAGGUAGAGCCUUCCCUUUCCUUGAUCAGUUCAGGUUCUCUUGACGCCGGAUUUAGUUGAAAGGGAUAGGGUAGGAUAGGCUCUUAUGCGAUCUACCGCAGACGAGGCGCGGUUUCUUGAUGGGUUUUGGUUCCCCAUAUGCCGACUCACAUCCACGUUGUUUAUUGGUGUUCUUCUUCUCAAAUUUAACUGGAACCAUUCGGCUAGUGGAGUCCCUCUAUAAGACUCUGGCCUAAUCUGAAGUGAACAUAAGCUACUAAUAAUCAUUCGUCAGCGGACGUUGGUAACUUAAUAAGAGUGGCCUAGUUGGUCUGUUAAUGGGGAGGAGUUAGUGUUGGGUGUUUGUCGCCUUCAAACAGGUUGAACAGGAACGGGCUAAUUCAGGAGAAACACGAGUUUUGGUAAUGGAGCUUAUACUGUUAGGGAAUGGAAUGUUAGAUCGUAAUGGAACAGAUGGUUUUUCUUUAGCUUAAGGAUGCAAUUGGGGGACGAAGAGAGAACAUGUUAAAACAUUGCAUGAACAAUGUGAGAGGUGCUGUGGUAGUAGUGUGAGCCUUGAAAAAUUUUUGUUCCAGGCACCUAAGAAAACAAAUUGUUGUACAAUCUAUCUGAUAAAUUUUGCUCAAACAUAUAUUCAAGGAAGAAAAUUAGCAACAAUAUACCUUAAGAUGAAAUAAAAGCUACGAAUGAAGAAGAGCAAAAUGGUUGACAUAUAAUUAAUAGCCUUUUGUUAAUCUUUGAAUUGUUUUUUUUGUAACUGUGGUACUCGAUCUAAUAUAUUCACAUGAUGGGAAUUAUACCUCUUCCAUUCCAAACACUAAUCAUAGGCUGGAAAUAUGCAACUUGGGAUCUUUUAUUAUUUCCAUUAUUGAUCUUGAUUGCUUACUCUCUUUUUAUUGUUUGCAGCUAUAUGAGGAUGAUGUAUGCAUAUGUAUAUUGGACUCUAGCCCAUUGAGCAUUGGGUAAUGUAUAUCUACAAUUUUAUGAUUAUACUUUCCUUGAGUGCAAAUGUGCAAUAUAAUUUUCCAAACUUAAUGCUAUGACAUUCCAAACUUAUGCUUUCCUAAAGUUUUGUAUCGGUUUUGUAAACAUUAAGGUCUAAUGUUUGUUCUGAACUCUUCUAUUUGCAUUUUUUUUUUCCUUUCUGUGAAUAUAUCCAUAAAUCAUUGGCUUACGGUGAGAUAUUCUUUUCCCAGUCCUGAGUAGGUGGAGUUAAAGAUGGGUGGCAAUCAUUAAAUUAAGACUGCUAGCCUGAUUAGACUUAUUUAUUGCUAAUUAUUGGGUGUAUCAGUCAGGUCCUAGUAGAAGAAGGUUGAUUUGCUAACAUAGAUUCAGGUAAAAGUAAAACAUUCUUAGAUGCCAUGCUAAUCUUUUUCACCCUACAAGUAGCAUAAAGCUGGACUUGAGCCACCAAACCAACCAGAGUUAACUUGUUUCAAAAUUACAUGAUCUUGUACUAAGCCGCCUUUCUACGGCAAUUGGUGAUCUAUUUAGAGUUUUGAGUUCUCCUUAAAUCGCAUUUCCUGACUUGAAAAUAAUCCAAAAUAGCCUGGUUGCUAUAACUUAUUAUCAUGUUAGAGCAUUCAUUAGUGUUUCUUAUGCACCUAGAUUUUAUAGGUUAAUGCAUUGUGAAAACAAUUCUGGAGAGAACAAGUCUCUGCAAGUCUGACUUUUCAAGUUAUAUUGGGGGUAGUAAUGAUUGACAGAAACAAGCAAAGAUACUUAAAUAUAGCUUGGUUGGAGGCAUCACUUAUGAGCCAGGAUCUGUCUCAGUGGUAGGUUGGAUUGAGCUCAGGUGAAGUUCAAUUUCCAGGUACACUGAGGAUUAAUCAGACCUAACUUGAUUGUACCGAGAGAGUAAUAGGGUAACCAAUCUUGUUAAAAUGCUUCAUCUUUAUCAGCCAUCCUGACUCUUUUCUAUCUGACCCAAUUAUUAUAAAGUUUGGGUUACAUGGCUCUGGUUAGGAACUCAACAUGUUAGUGGCAUGGACCGGUUCUAGUAUUACAACCACCUGAAACCUCAUCAAUUCAUUACCAAACGCUAUGUCUAAUAAGCCAUGCACCUGUCUGUUGCCUUGAUGAUAAUAAGCAAGCAUCAGAAGAUAAAACUUGAAAACAGCUUGAUCUUGGCAUAGAAGUUUCAAAUAAUAAAAAUGGGAUCAUACCCUAGUUUUUUUUGUAAAUUAUAUUGUUGGAUUUCUUUGGUUUUAUAUUCACUCUUCAGCGUCCUUUUUCUUGUGUAGGCACUCCCUUAUCAUUCCAAAGUUGCAUGCUCCUUCACUGGAAUCAACUCCACCUCCUGUGAGUUUCCUUUUUUAUGAAAGAUUAAAAUGUUGAUUCUUAGAGUAGUUUCAAGUGGUAAAUUUUACUUAUGGAUGACACUAAAUUUUCAUUUGCAAGAUGUAGAGUAAGGCUCCUUAACAAAUUGUCAAAGCUGGUAGUUGAGACAUUUAUGAUAAAAUUACAUUUUAUAAAUUGGUGAUAUCUCUGGUCUUGUGUGAUUAUUUUAUGUUUUGCCUUGCUGAUCUCACAUUGUGGAACUACUUAGUUGUUUAAUUUGUUUCUUCUGUUGAUCUAUCGUAUUGAUAUGAUAAAAGUUUGCAACUUUGCUAACGGAUGUCUUGCAAAUUUCUCUGUGUAAUCUGCUUGAGGAGCCAUACUGAUGGUUGUGUUCAUUUGGAGUGCAGCCCUUUAAAGCCGUGUAUGUAGAUGAACAUUUAGUUACAUAUAGCAUAUGAAUUAAUGAAUAAAGUGAAAUACAGUUUCAUGUGUUGUUUGAUAUCUGUUGACUAUGCUAGUUAAAAUGUUUUGCCUCUUCUUUCAUUAAUAAGUCCCUUGGUUUACGAGCUUGAAUGGUAAUCUUUAUACUACUAAUGGAUAGAUACCAAAGCUAAGAAAUAUUUCUUACCCCAGGUUCAUGCCUUGGCGAUGCACUAGCCGUGGUAACAGUGCAUGCUGCAUCACUGCCAUUGGUUCAGCCUUGGAAGUGCAUGCUCCUUAGAGAAUAAAUGAAUUAUUUUCUUCUCUUUACUAGCUGUCCUAUCAAAGAAAAGCCAGGUCUAAACUUUCAAACAUCAAAAAAUGUCCAAUUCGUAUUCUAGCUGUGUAACUGAAAAGGAAAACAUGGGAAAACACUCAUGGAUUAAAGGCAUCCAUCUAAACAUUCUGGACAGCAUCGAAAGUCUGCAACUCUCUCUGCAAGAUUGAAAUCUUGCAAUGACAUUGGUAUAUUGUGAACUGACGUGAUCCUUCGUCAUGUUUUUUUCCCUAAGCUCUAUUGAUCCCUCAACUUGGUUUCUCAUCUAAAAACUUGUGCAGUCAGAAUUUGCGUAUACCUGUAAAAGAUGCUUUAAAGUUGACAAGCUUGAGAGAAAAGAUGGACGGUUGUAUCAGUUCAAUUCUGAAUUUGAUACCUCUGGCUGAGCUCAUAGUUUAACAUCAUCCUUUUCUAUAACAAGGAUUUCUAUCCUUCUUACGAAGCUUCUGUUCAUCAUUUUUACGUACUUAUGUCCUCAUGGUUAAAGCAACUUGCAAUUUGUCAUUUAAUGGAAAAAAGUGGAGAAGGAUGUUUUGCCACCUAAUGUUUCCAUGUUGUUUUUGAUGCAGGUGGUAGCAGCCAUGUGUUCCAAGAUACCAAUUCUUAGCAGUUGUAUCAUGAAAGCUACUCAGUCUGGUAGGUGGAACAUAUAUAAGAAAUCUCUCCUGAUUAAGCAUCUGUUUUUCUUUUUUUAUGUUUUAUAUAUUGAUGCCAUUUAACUGAUAGAUGAGAUAAAUAGUACAACUUCCACUUUUCACCCUGAUCAACAAAUGCUUUCAUUUUUCUUUCUCGGAGAGAUGAUACUGUGGAAUGCCGAUUCACCCUGGUCAUUGUUGGUGCUUAAAAUCAACCUCUGUUCCUUGGUUUUUGAUCAAAGGUGUAUUUAUCAAAUACUUGUUAUUUAUUGUAACAAAUGUAGCUUGAUUGUGCAUCUGCUGGACACCUGAAUGUUCCAUUAGUUUUAUUUGGACUGUUUCUAAAUUUUUUGAAUCUUAACACUAUGGUAAGGUAACACCUACGCAACUCAGUUUAUUAGAGUUUAGGUCAUGGAGACCACAGAUAAUGCUACGUAAAUUGAUUUUUGUUGAACCCCACGUAGAAGCCUUGUGCAUUAGGCUGCUCUUUUAACAAGGCAAGUCUUGGCACCAUAGUAAGUCUUCCUCUGUGACUUGUGUAGCCAAAUUUAAAUCAUGGAAAUAACAUCUUGACUGGGAAAAUGACGGACAUUGGCGCGAUCUAUACCUUGCACUGGUGGGAGACUCAUGUAGUGGGCCCCUUUUUCACUGCUCUGGACCAUUCUAAUCCACAUGGAAUUUCUACUUUGAGCUUUCAACUAGGUGAUUAGAUGUAUUUGAAAGCAUUUUAUUCUUGCUGCUCCAACUCCUGCUUCCAUUUCGAGACAAAGACUAAUUACCUUACAUUUUGUUUUGCCAUAGCCGUCAUUUUUUUUUCUUUUUGGCUUUAUUUUCAAGUUCUUCAUCACUAUCCUUCCUCACAUUGUUUUACUCUCUUUUGAUAUAACCAUGCUCCUGUUUCUUCUUCGUCGUAGUACCUGCUAUAGAUACUUUUGGCAUCUUAACAUUCUCAAUAUCUUCAUUUUGAUCAAGUUGAAUAUGAAGUCAAACUGAUCUCUCUCUUCGGUUACCCACCACACACAACAGGACACAUCAUUAGGAAAUAUUCUGUUCCAUAUCUCAAGCCACCUGCUUCCGGAAAUCAUACCGUUUGUUCUGACUGCCCUCUGUUGAUAGCACUUUUCUGAUCAUUUUAUACAAGAAUUACUUUUUGAAGUGUUUGGUUACAUUUGAUUUACUCGUGAAAUUUGCAGAUUCAUUCAAUUUAUUGGUCAACAAUGGAUUGGCGGCUGGGCAAGUAAUAUUUCAUGUGAGUACCCAAUUAUAAGUUAGAUCAAUAGCCUCAACAGAUAGCAUCAUAUUGUGAUGGCUGUACAUUUAACUGAUUUAACCUAAAUAUGCUGCAGACUCAUCUCCACAUAAUUCCUCGGAAAACAGGAGACAAGCUAUGGCCUUCUGAGGUAACACAGUAUAACUCCGAUCAUUUUGCCGAUGUUAAUUCAUUUACAAUUCAGACGUAUGACAUGCAGAGUUUGAGAAGGCAACCCAUCGAAGCAUACCCAAAAAUCGUCGACCUUGUGAAUUCAAUUCAAGAUCUGGUUUGUUCUCUAUCCACUGAUAGCUGCCUAUCUGAUGCAUGGAUUGCUGCCAAGAUUAGGAAUCACAAGUGAAUGGAAUUUUGUAUAUAUGCUCUGUGUUGUUAUUGUUUAUUCAAAUUAUAUUAAACACAGCGAUCAUUUCUGAAGUCUGUAACGUGGGAAUUAAAGAUUGACAGCAAGUGCAAGACGGUGGGAUUCUCUGAGCUCUUCCAUUUCUUUUUCUUCCCACCAAAAUAGACUCAUGUAUGAAUCGAGUACAGAGGUGACAAUAAAACCUACCUCUUUGAUUUCUACAUCAGAUUUAUUUUCAUUAGGGAUUUUCCUAUCAUUAAUUAGUGAUGGGUUUAGCUUUAUCACAUCGAAUGCAGAGUUAUAAUGUCGAUUUUAAAUUUAGGUUAUUAAUUCUAAGAUUGAUUUCUUGACAUCAUAAACAAUAAAACUGGGACAUGAUGUGCAAUUUUCUUACCAAAGCCAACAAGAUUGGCAAAAAUUGUUACAGAAGAAAUGUGAAUUCAUCUUCUAUUUCUUGACUAAAAAAGAUCAGAUCCCUUUGCAGGUUCCUACUGAGUGAUCAUUUGGUUGCCCUACAUUGGCUACAUGACAUGAAGGGUUGAAGGAUCACAGUACUAGUGCAGGUAAUAAUGCCUCAAGCAAAUGUCUAGAAUUUGUACUGAUCAGAGACAUCAAAGCUCAUGACCAUGGGAAUAUUAUAUUUUUCACAUCAGAAAGACCUGCUUACCACAUGUGAACUGAGUCCAUCAACAGUGACUACAUGGAGACCCUGCCACAUACAAACAAAACCCAAUCAGACCACAAUCUAGAAAUUAAUUACAUAGAAACAACUGGGACCAAACAAGUUUGUCUCCAUCCAGUCCACAAUUAUUCACUGGUUUCUUCUUCUGCUAGUUGCACAGAAGUUGGGAUUCCUUUGUCUGAUGCAACUGAUGCUGACUCCAGUAGUUAAUUGCAAGAGUUGGUGAAAAGUACAUGUCAUCCAUCAGUUUAGAAUUUAGACAAUUCAAAGCAUGCUUCUAAUGUUGCAGCUCUACAACCAGUAUGUACAGAUUUGAGAGAGAUUUUUCAUAAUAGAAAACAUUCCACAAAUGCACAGAAAAAACUUUUGGUAGGAAGCAGAAAUGCAUUUUAAUCUACCAUUAACAUCAUACAUGAAACAGUAUCGUCUACAUGAUGCAGGUCAUACAUGCUAGAAGAAAUUAUCAUUAUUCUCAGAAUUCAGGACCACUUGUCUUCUUCUUCCUCCUGGAUCACUGUGCCUCUGCUUCUUCAGUUGCAUCAGAUCUGAGCCUGGCUGUGCCGACUGACAGUGUUGGAGAGCAUCAUCUCAGGCAGCACAGAGUCCAGAAUUUGCUCUGCCAAGGCAUCGCACCACUGGUUGUUUGAUCAACAAGAAAUAAUUUUGAGGUUACUCCAUCAGUUGCAAAGUUUGACAGUGCAUGCCACUGUUUGGGCCCAAUAUUUCAGUCUUGCUUUAACAUCUUCAGGAUGGUCACCUAAAAAUAUUGAGGAAGAGAAGGGAUAAUAAAGUCAAGAGGAAACAACAAAGCAGUGUGUAGGUUCACCAAAUAUGGCAUUGGAUUGGGCCAAUUGCAUCUCUGCAAAGGCCAAGCAGAUCACCAAAAGAAAUUAACCAAUAUGAGCUAAAUCACAACAUAUUUUUGGCCAUGACUAUUAUUAGCUCAUCAUGCUAAUGUAUUUUGUUUUUCUGGAGUUUACAGGUUUUGGUGUUACCUCAAAUUGGUCUUGAAAGAAUCUUGAAAGAUCAGUAUUAGCUGAUCAUAUAGAGAACCAUGAGGAAAAUUGGAGUUAUUGCUGGAUUCAUUAAGUGGAAUCAUUCGUUACUAAUGCAUACGACCCUCCAUAAAGUUCGGAUCUUUUCUUCCGGAUCGGAAUCUCCCAUCAGGGCAAUCGAGCGAGAUCCUCUGAAAACCAGAUCUUUACGCGACAAGAAGAGAAGAUGGAAUCUUACCCGGACUGGAGAUCUUCCAGUUGGCGACGGGAGGCGCAGCGCACGGCUCCGCCGCCACGGACGCUUCGCCCGCCGGCUCCAUCAGUCGACUCAUGGAGUAGCAUAGCUCCAAGGCGGGGAGCGUGCCGCGGAGCUCCGGGAUCUCCUCGUAGCUGAAGCCGAACCCCAGGUCCAAGCACCCCUUGAGCUCGUCCAGGUCGUCAUCAGUGAGGCUCCUCGUCCUCCCGACCACGUCCGCGCCGUCCGCGACUUUCGCGCUCCGACCCGCUCCCUCAGGCACUUCCACGUAGCCCUCGAGCGUGACUCCUCCGCCGGGCCGGCUCUUCCGCGGCCACGCAGCCUUCCACGCCUCUUCCAAUCCCAUAUCCUCCACCGCUUCUUCCAUCCUCCUCUGAGCCUGCUUCUUCGUCUUCUUUUUCUUGCCGGCCCUCUUAGGACUCACGUUAGGGUUUAGAGUUGGGAUCGGCACAGGGCACGCCGCUUCGUCCGAUGAACUCCCCAUCUCUCUCCGUCUCUUUUGGGGGCGGCGAUAGCGUGGUUUUAAAUGGGCUAAUGAGGGUAUGAUGCCGACAUAAUGGUAUUAUGAUAUUGAUACGGUAUUAUUAUAUGAGGUUGGAUUUAAUGGGUGAGGGAGAACGAUAAAAGGAUGGAUUUUAUUUAUUUAUUUAUUUUAUUAUAUCAAAUCAUAUAUAGUAUGAAGUUUUGUUAUAUAAUAAUAUAUUAACCAAUUUAGAUGUUUUAAUAAAAAUAAUGAUAGAGUGAUUUUAAUUUUAUAGGAAGUGUAAAAAUAAUAUUAUUAUCAUAAAAUUAUUUAUUAUUAUUAUUAUUAAAUUAUAAUUUUUAAUUUUUUGAAUCAAUUAUACGGAUCUCUUGUCGAUAUUGAAAUAUAUAAAAAAUCAUACGCUUAGUUAAGAUUAUGAUAUUUUUUAUAUUAAAGUUUUUAGGAUCUUACUCUACUUUUUUUUACUACUAAUAUUAAUUAUUUUAUCUUUUUUUAUUAUCAUAUUCAGAAGCCUGAUAUAUGUUUAUCACAUUUUAAUUGAUGUUUUCUCGUAUUAUCUUCUAUCAAGUGAUACUUAGUUGUCCAUAGAUAAAAGUAUUUUUUUUUUCCUAUCUUUCUUUGUAAUUUCACAUAUUCAACUCAAUAUUCUCAAAUCUAUUAAGUAUUAUUGAUCUAAAAAUUAUCUUAUAAUUUUUUUUAAUCUUAAAGAUAUCCGACGAUACUCUUGAUGUUCCAGUCAUUUUAACCAUCACCUUUUUAGUUUAUGAAUGAUAUAUUCAUUGAUCUCUUCAUUUUGUUGAAUAAUUUAUACAAAAUAGAUACUCAUUGUCAUGUUAUUCUUAAAAAUAUUUAUAUUAUCAUCUUUAAAAUUUGAUCAUCGGAAUCAGAACUUUAAGGUCUUUGAGGACAAUGCGAAGAGAUAUGAAACGAAUAAUAAGUGAGAAAUAUCAAUUGAUGAAAAAUUUGAGACGGAGAUAAAGGAGCUGAUAAACAUUAUUUAUUUUCUUGAAGUAUUAAUAACAAACAAAUGUAAACAGGCAGUGUUAAUUUCAUCACUGCUUAGUAAACCAAGAUCAACUUCAUUAAGCAAAAUUGGCAUGCUUAAUGAUUCAAGAACUACGUGAUUGAGAUGUGAAAUAUGAAUAAUAAGAACCACAAUGCAAAAAAAAAAAAAUCCUUCAUAUCUUUAGGAAACAUUUAAUGACUCUCUUUUCAUCAAGUGCUCGAGACAUUAUAGCUUACUAUCAUCGUUGUUAUUGUGUUACUACACAAGCAAAUAACCCUAAAAAAAGAUAUCACAACAGUGGAAAGCAGCAAAGGAUUGGAAAUUUAAUUGAGUGGCACGUAUAGCCUGUGAUAUAUUUUCUUUUGCCUUUACCAUUAUCAAGAGAGCAUUUUAACGUGGUGCUUGUGACAUGCUGCUGGCUUUUUAGUGACAGCUUUCUUGGCCUCCAACCUAACUGGCUCUCUCUCUCUCUCUCUCUCUCUCAGGCUUUGUCUUCUCUCAACGCCACAUACAGCCAUGUCCAAGUACAGGACCCGGACAUAUAAAUCGCUGUCACGACGACAUUGCUGUUCUGCCGAUCUCUCCGGGCCUUGCAGGGAGGAGGAGGGUAGGGCUUGAAAGCCAGAGAAGGAGAUGACCACGAUGAGAGAAAGAAAUAAUAAAAUCUCACAGGAUGAAAAUGAUCAUCAUAUCUUACUCACAGGAAGAGGUGGUAGCAAUCGAUUGUAUAAGAGUAAUUUCAUCUUUUGGAUAAUCUCAUAUUUUUAUAAAAUAACAGAUAUUAGAAUAAAAUUAAAAAAGCGACAUUCUAUAGAAAAAUAAAAAUAAAAACUGGAGAUUUUUUUUUUAUAUAAAAAUUACCCUAUAUAUAUAUAUAAUAUCAAAAUCAAAGAAAACAAGGAAUCAGGUACUCCUUUUGAGCUGGUAGAAGCACUGCCGUAGUCGACAGCAAGGCCAUGUUGACUGAGAGUUGAAAAGCAGGCAUGCACACUAGUAUAAAGCAAGAACAAAACCGUGCGGCUUUUGGCUAGAAACAUGUUCUUCUACAGCAGACAAGUCUGAAACAUUUCUCUGGUCUGCGCAAAGUACUUGCUCCUAAUUUGGACCUUAUGAACACAUCAUUCAACAAUGUCACCAUUGUGCUAUAAAAUGACACCACUAACACAGAAAUCACACCGAGAAUGAGAUUCCAAAUAAUAAAGGUCAUCCUUGAUAAGAGUCUGUUGACCUUAUUUGGCCUUGAUAAUAGGUCUUUAAAUAUAUUACUCCACUUUUAAUAAACUAGCCAAGCAUCAUCGAAUAAAGUAAGUUCCGGGCACCUCAGGUUGCUGCUGCUGCUUAUCAAUCAAACGACACCUUGUGCACAAUCCUUGCUCCUCUUGAUUUUGCCACGUAGAGUCCUAUAUAAUGAAGCACAUCCUGCAGGAGCAGUAAGCAGAGCUCUAUACUAAAUCUCCAGCGUGACACAUCAUUAGUAGAGACGGGAAUUAAAGAUCGAAACUGUCACGCAAUUCUAAGUAAUAUUUUGAUCCUACCAUAUAGUAUCAAAAGCAAGAUGACAAAAAAGCAGGUUAUGGCAUUAACUUUGUCGGUAAAGAAGCAAUGCUUACAGAAAGGAUUACGAUUACGGUCCCACACGAGGCUAAUAAUGCUAUUAAGAUAUGCAUGCAACCUUUAGAUAUCAAUAAGUCGACUCCAAUGUAGACGUAAAAAUGAAGUGCUAGAAUCUGAUUGAAGGGUGUCUCUAUCAUGACAUGAGCAGUCACUUCCACUACAUCUGACUUUUUAGGUCUUAGUUCAAUGUAAAUCAUCGUGAAUGAAUCAUCAUAUAUGUAUGAUGUGGAAAUACAUGAUUCUUUCAAGCUAUUUCUCUUUCGUUAAGGACUGCAAUGACUUGGUAAAAUCCUCACCGCAAAUUUAGAAUUUUAUUAGAUGGUCAUUGCUAUUUGUUCUUAUAUUGGUAGCUGCUGUCAACAACUGUUCAUCCUAAAUUGCCUAAUUAUGCUGAGAUCAACAUCUAAGCAAUUAUCUUUUGCUGACAAGCUUUUCUUUUGAUUACGGAAGAAGUCAUAGUAAUCUUCCUAAGAGUGUAAAGGUGUGUUGUCUCAGUCGUAUGAGUGUAACAUUAAACCAUCCCUACAAGUUUAGGUGUUCAAACCUGAGGAUGGGCCAAAGCUCCCUUGAUAUUUCUUGCAACAUGAAUUGGAAGGUCAUGUGUUGCACAACCUCGUGCAUAAACCACAACAUCUUCCAGUGGUGGAACCAGGCCUAUAUUUCUAGCAGAGAGCGUGGAACAUACAAAGUCCAACACGCAGAUAUCUGUGCAUACUCCUACCACCAAAACCUGCACAAUGGGAUUAACAAACAAUAUGACUGUCAUCCACAUCUCCAUUCUGGAAUAACAAAAAGAUCAAUCUGCGAUUAACCAGGAGUUAUUAUAUAUCUCAACAAAUGUGUGUGUAGGAAGAUCGAUCACUUACGACUCUGAUUUCAUUUCUUUUCACCCAAUCAGAGAAUGCAUUAGAGCCAUCCUUCUCCAUUGAACCAAUGAAGCCAUCAAUACAAUCUUUCCUUCUCACAGUAAAAUUUGGAUCCUUCUCCAGCCAUUUCAGAGCUGCAGAAAUACUUAAAAAGGAAAUCAGUUGUUUCGAAGCUGUCAAUUUAAGCUUAAAACUUGAGGACAGGCACAGGUUUGAAAAGAAAUAACAUUCACGAAUGCAAAAGGCAAGGAAUAAUACCAGGGACUAAUCUCUCUUCGCCUGAACCGAUGACACAAUGAGGUGGAUACGGAGGCUCGGGCUUGCCCGGAUAAUGGGUGUCGAGGAGAGCAAAGAUAGGCCAGUUUCUGGCCGAGAACAUCUUGGCCAGCUUUGCAGCCUCCUCCACCAUCGUUGCUAUCUGAUCAUUGGGCUCAGUUGGAGCCUUAUAUGGAGAGCAGAUCACAUGAGAUCAGAGGUAUAAAUUGUUCGACAAAAUGUUUUCUACUUCAACAAAAUAAUCAAAACAAAUACUUCCUAUGCACGUUGAACUGAUCAAAAACCUCAAAUCGAUAUCAAUUAACCAUUAGGCUGAACUCGUAUCGAAUACUCACAAAAGCAUCAGACUUUAUAAAAUGGAAGCGAAGCAAAUUACACUACAAAGAUCACGCCUUUGCUUUUAGUUAGAGCUUAGUCCGGUUGAGUUCAGACCAAAGUUAAACUCUCGCCGCAGAGAUAACGAAUCAAGAAAAGAAAACUAACGCUAAAAGGACACAGAUAAAACUGCUAAAGGGAAACAAUUUACUGAUACUAGAAAGCUAGACCUUCAGACAAACGAAAAAAUUGGGAAAACACAAAACGUUCCAAAUUCAACGAUUAAAAAUGUGUUCCAUAUAUCAAUAUACAUGAAUCGCAGAGAAGAAUAUGCUUCUCUUCAUAACAACAAAAAAUCUCGCUCAUAUGAACCUUCAAUCAG
rnacentral:lncRNA from 1 species